rnacentral:lncRNA from 1 species
UGUGUGCUCUACCCUUCGGCGGAGUCCUUGGAGGAUUAGUCCAUUUGCCCUUUCGCAUGCGCCGUUGCUCUUGGGGUAAGCUACGGAUGCGAAGUGCAGCUUGAUCUCAAGGCAUUCGCAGAAUUUGAUGAAUUCCGCACAGUCGAACUGUUUGCCGUUGUCCACGGUUAGCUCUCGCGGGACACCAUAUCGGCAUAUGAUGUUUUCCCAGAAAAAGUUUUGAAUGGCUUGUGCCGUGAUCUUGCCAAGCGACGCUGCUUCUAUCCCUUUGGAGAAGUAAUCAAUCGUCACCAUGAGAUACUUGCGGCCCCCGUUGCAUGCGGAGAAAGGCCCGAGGAGGUCCAUUCCCCAGCGUGCAAAUGGCCAUGUUAUCGGGAUUUCUUCAGGGAAGUCACGGGUGCAUGGAUUGACUUAGCCAUUUUCUGGCGAGCUUCGCAUUUCCACAAUAUGGUGAUUGCGUCUUGCACCAUGGUGGGCCAAUAGAAUCCCUGACGUAAGGUUUUUGCCGCGGUGGCCCUUGGCGCAAGAUGGUGGCCGCAUAUCCCUGAAUGGAUUUCCAGGAGGAGCUCGGCUCCUCGGUCAGGAGUUAUGCACUUAAGCAACGCGGACGCUCCUUUCUUGUAUAGGAUGCCGUAGAGGAGGAUGUACAUCUUGGCUUUUGCGAGCGGAGUUUUGGUGCUUGGGCCUUCCGCUUCUUCGUCCACUUCGCCUUUCAUGGCGCGGAUAAUCGGUGUCAUCCAAGAGGGUGGAGCGUCGAAGACCAUGCUGGUCUUUGAAGCUUCGUCAAGGGCGUCGGCUUCUUCCUUUAUGGAUGGGGCGCGAAUUACUUCGAAGAAUGCACCGGGUGGCAGCGGUUCUUUGGAACCGGCCGUUCGGGCUAACCUGUCAGCCAGGUGAUUUUCUCCUCGUGGAAUGCAUCGCACCUCCAUGCCCAGGAAAUACCGUUCCAUUUUGCGAACUUCUUCGAUGUAUUUCUUCAUUCUUUCAUCAAGGCAUUGAUAUGACUUGUCCAUUUGAUUUAUCACCAGUUGGGAGUCUCCCUGGACGAGAAGGCGUCGGACUCCCAUGGCCUUGGCCAGUCGAAGUCCGAGAAGUAGCGCCUCGUAUUCUAUCAUAUUGUUGGUGGCAUUGAAGUCAAGAUGGGCAGCGUACUCCAAGAUCUUUUCUUCGAGGCUGAUGAGUAUAACUCCAGCCCCCGCACCGUCGAGGCGCUUAGAGCCGUCGAACCUCAUUAUCCAAUGUGGUUCGGGGGGCUCGGUCUUGGAUGUGAUUUCUUCGAACGGGGCUGGUGGAGCAUGCCACUCGGCCACGAAGUCAGCCAGGACUUGGGAUUUUAUGGCUGUUCUCGCCGUGAGUUCCAACGAGAAAUGCGCCAAUUCCGUUGCCCAUUUGGCGAUUCUUCCGGUGGCCUCCUUGUUGCCGAAGACUUCCUUGAGUGGGAAGAUAGUUGGCACCAUGAUGGUGUGGCCCAUGAAGUAAUGACGGAGCUUUCGAGAGGCCAUGAGGAGGGCGUAUGCGAUCUUCUCGAUCUGGGUGUAUCGACCCUUUGCUCCUCCCAAAGCUUCGCUCACGUAGUACACCGGGCCUUGUGACCUAUCUUCUUCGUUCACGAGUGCUGCGCUUAUGGCGACCGGGGUCGCGGCGAGGUAUAGGAGCAAAGGUUCCCCCUGUUUUGGGCUCGUGAGAAGUGGAGGGGUCGACAAAUAGGUCUUGAGCUCUUUGGGCUUCGUCGAUCCACUCAAAGUUGUUGAGGCACCUCAAGGCUUUGAAGAAAGGGAGACCAUUUUCGGCUGACCGGGCGACGAAUCGUCCUAGGGCCGCCAUUCUUUCCGCUAGGCGUUCCACAUCUUUGACGGAGUGAGGAGGUUCCAUCUCAAGGAUGGCCCGAAUUUUUUCCGGGUUGGCCUCGAUCUCCCGUUGGGAGACAAGGAAGCCUAAGAGUUUCCCUCCUCGAACUCCAAAUGCUCACUUUUCCGGAUUGAGCUCCACGCCGUACUUGCGGAGAUUGUCGAAGGUUUCACGCAGGUCCUUGGAAUGAGUUCCUACAAUUUGACUUUUGAUUGGCCUUCCUUGAGAUGCUCCAUUUAGGUCGGUAAAGUCGACACACAUUCGCCACUUACCGUUGGCCUUCUUCACCAAGACAGGAUUGGCUAACCAUUCGGGGUGCCAAACUUCUUGAAUUAGCCCGGUGUCGGAAAGUUUGGCGAUUUCUCGCUUGAUGACCUCGCAUCGCUCGGUGGAGAGUUUCCGAAGUUUUUGCUUUACGGGAGUUUUGUCGGGCCUUACGGCGAGGCGAUGCUCCAUGACGUCGCGCGGGACUCCUCCCAUGUCAGAAGGCGACCAAGCGAAGAGAUCGGAAUUCUUGCAAAGUAGGUCGACGAGUUCUUCCUCAAGUUUACUCGGGAGAUUGGCUCCGAUCUUCACCGUGCGCGUGGCGUCUUCUUGGGAGAUGCGUACUUCCUUGAGUUCUCCUUCGGUGAGGGGCUUAGGGAUGUAGCGCUCCGGGUGAUCGGUUCUGGAUGCUCCUGCAUUCGAAAGCAUGUUGAUACUCUUGGAUGAUUCUUCCUUUUCGGCGCACUUGGUCUCAUGGCGGUAGAGGGUCUUCUUGUCGGAAGAUUGCUCGCCGCGGACCUCUAUCACGCCUUUUGGGCCCGGGAUCUUCAUACACAAGAAGUUGUGGUGGACGGCGGCGCAGAGACGGUUUAGCGUAGUCCUCCUGAGGAUGGCGUUAAAGGAGGCCUCCAUGUCCACUACGUCGAAGCGCACAAGCUCGGUUCGAUGAUUUGUGGCGUCCCUGAAGGUCGUGAGGAGCUCAAUUUGUCCGAGCGGCUGAAUGGACUUCCCCGGUACAAAGCCGGUGAGAGGAUAAAGGGAUGGCUGCAAUGAGCCGUUCUUGUAUCCCCCUUGUGGUUCUGUCAGCUUCUUCAAAGUGCUCAGAUAUAGGAUGUCGGCGGAGCUUCCGCCAUCCACCAGAAUCUUUUUGAGCUCACAAUUGGCGACGAUCGCCGUCACGAAGAGGGCGUCGUCGUGCGGGAAGCUUAUCCCCUUGGCGUCUCCCUCGGUGAAGGUGAUUGGCACGCUUGCCCAUUUCGGUGGUGGUGUUGGGGUGAAGGUUUCCACGACAUUGACUUCUCGAGUAUACUCCUUGCGCUGUCGCUUCGAUCCCUGGCCUGUGGUGGAGCCCCGAGUAUCACUCCGACGUGAUGCGCGGGUUCUUGAAAUGGAAGGUUGUCUUCCUUAGGUGCCGGGUCAGCCACGAGGUUGUCUUCCUUGAUGAAAUCUUUGCGCUCCUGCGUUCGCCGUCGAAUCUUCUGCUUGACGGGACGGGCGUCCAGGCGCACCGCGAGUCGAUGCUCAAUCACCUCCAUAGGGACUCCGGGAAGGUCCGACGGCUCCCAAGCGAACACGUCGGCGUUCUCCCGGAGGAAAGUGAUGAGGGCGCUUUCCUAUUCGGCAGUAAGGUUCGCACCGACGGUGACGGUGCCCUUCUUGUUGCCGGCUUGGAGGGGCAGCUUCUUCACCUUGGUGGCCUCCUCCCGGAACUUCUGGCCCUUGCCGGGGCACGAGCUCGAGCCUGUGCUUCCCCCGGCAAGCUCUUGCGGGGCAGCGCGGGCCUUCUUCGUUGCCGGGUCGUCACCGGGCGAGCCUUCGUCUCCGGCAACGUCCUCAUCACCGGCGUCAGCUGCGGCGGCGGCCCUGACGACCUCGCCAACGCACCAGGCUGCGUCCCUGAGGUCGCACCUGAUGGAGAGGACUCCGUACACGGACGGCAUCUUCAUCACGCCGUAGGCGCAAUGCGUCGCCGCCAUGAACUUGAUCAGCGCCGGCUGACCAAGGAUCCUGUUGUAGGGCAACGGGGUGUGCGCCACGUCGAACACUAUGUGCUCGGUCCUGAACGCUUCCCGGGACCCGAAGGUCAUCGGCAGCGUGAUGCGCCUUAGGGGACGCACGAUCCCGGGGUUCACUCCCCGGAACGGGUCAGUGGGUUUCAGCUGCUCCACCGGCAACUGGAGUUUCUCCACCAACCUGGCGGACAGGAGGUUUAGCCCCGCUCCGUUGUCCACCAGCACCUUGGUCACCGUCAAGUUGCUGAUGAUCGGUGAGACCACGAAGGGUAUGACCCCUGAACCCAACUGCCGCGCUGGAGGCGUUCCCACGAUGCGCCAUUCCAGUGAGCGCGAGCGGAAAAAGGUUGCACAUCUCGACGGGACCUCCCCCGGCGGCCCGUAUGGCUGUCGUCGCACGGGGCUCCGACACCGGGGAUGCGUGGGCACCCCCUUUUUAGGUUCGGCAGUGGGCUACGGGUAUCGCUCCGGCGAUCGCCGGCGGGACCAAUGCGAGGCGUAAGAACCUACCAAGAACGCAUGCACACGCUUUUUACCCAGGUUCGGGCCACCUUGCGGUGUAAGUCCUGCUUGUCUGAGCUUGUAUUACUGUGCGAUUGGCUGUUUUACAGGUUGCCGGGGGGAGCUCCCGGGUGGUCUCUUUUUGGCUAAGUGUUCUUUGCUACUUCGAGCUACUGCCAGUGUUGCACUACGAGUUGGCUCAACAAUCGAACCAACGAAUCAACCAAGAAAAAUCCAACCAGAAAACGAACCCUUUGACCGUUGGCGAGGGUCCUCCUUUUAUAGCCAAGGGGAUACCACAGGUGCCACGACGCAUGGUUUACAAGUGGCGAGCAAGGAGCUCGGGCAGCUCCUCCUUGGUGCGUUGGCAUGCAUGCAUGAGCGCCAACCCCGCAGCUAGGGGUACAGGGCCUAAAAAAUAGGACUGGACAGCCAAUGUUCGCCCAACUAGACGGAUAACGCCCCUCCUGUCGGUUCAUUAAAUGCGUCGUGCGCUUCACUCCUUGCCCUGGUGAAACUGCACACUGGGCGCCUGGCACACGCCCACGUGGCCCCUCUGCUCUGCUCGCUCGGCCCCGCCCUCAUGGCGGGAACCUGUGCCUGGGAACACCUCCUCCCGGCAAGUGCCUUCCCGGGAGGUGCCCAGGCGGGAUUAUUCCUCGAAGCCCCGCUAGCCUUGCCGUGCUGGUAGCUUGCCGGGCAGCCUGCACGUUGUUGCCCAGGGUGAGAUCCUCCCGGAAACUCAGCGAUGCGACCCACACGUCGUGCAACGGUGGUACUCCGGGUGCCACUGGUGCGACAAUGGCGGUGGAGUAAACAUCCAAAAAUUGAAGAGGAUUCGACUCCCCGUCGUACAGCCGUAUUGUGGGUGGCUUGAACCUUGGCGGAAAAGGCGCGUCUUGGAUCUCUCGUGUGAGCGGGUUGCAGGUCGGCCGAUUCUUUUGGUUCCUUCGGUGGCGAGGUCCUCCCUCGUCGCUUUCGUCGCUACAGGGGUCGCUUGGAGAAUGAUCUCGGCGUUUUCUUGGAGGGUCGGAGCGUCGACAGGAAUUCCUUUCGCCGCCGGCACGGGCUCCGGAUUCCGCCACUUGCUCGUUUCCAUGCAUGCUGGGGUCUCAUUCCUCGCGAGGCGCAGCUUGAGGUGGUACCUGGUGGCCGCCUUGUUCGACCCCGACGGGGGGAGCAAGGGGCGCUUGCGGGGCACUUGCAAAGCGAGGUUGAUGUUGAGUGUGUGCGACUUGGAGAGCGCCUUGCGGCAGAAGCCCCCAAUAAGGAUGAUACCAAUGAGCUCCUUGGGUGAUCGCGGCGAGCGCCAGUGGAGGUAAUCCCGGGUUGCAGGGGUCGUAGGCCGGGACUCCUUGGUUUCCUGGCGCGGAUCCUCCGACGUCACAUUGUUUCCUCUUGUAGGUUCCGAGGGCAGGGUCACCACUGGUUGUAGGGAAGGUGGCGCGAAGCCCAUCGAGCGAGGCAUGCCGAGUUUCGUAUCCCCUGCGGGGACGGCAACCGUAGGCAGCUCGCCGAUCCUUGCCACUACGUUGGUGAGUGUCGAGGGACCGCCUACGACGGUUUCGAGCACCUCGGUUCCUUCCGGGACGGCCGGUAGCGGAGGGGCGACCGUGACUUCUGUCGGGGCGACCAUGCUUGCGGCGACAUCCAGAUUGGUGAGGGUUCCUUCUUCCUCGGGAGCCCCCGAGGCACUUGCUUUCUUCAUUUGCAACCAUGUAGACUUCGCGGCAAGUUGGGGACCCGAUGAAGUAGGCAUCGUCGGGGCCAUUAAAUCUUCAAUUGCGGCGAGGGUUUCCCACGGUCGGCGCCACUGUUGUUGUUCUCGACAACAAUUAGAGUAAGGGGUGCCAAAACUCGAUGGCACAAGUACGAGUAUAAAAGUAGGGCGUGUACGCCGGCCUUAUAGCGAAGGUCGUCGUACACUUGGACAAGUGUACACGUCAAUAUUUUUUGAAUAGGUUCGGUCGACCCUGUGGGUGCGACUUAGUCCUAUGUUAGGAGAGGCUUCGAGGGGGUCGUUAACCAAAGCGUUCGGAUCGAUCGAGACUCCCCGAAUCACUUAGCGAGAGGUCGAAAGGGGCCGCCUCGUACUUGGGCCGAAGGAGGCUUCCCAAGUAGCGAGGUCAAGAUACUCUUAAGACUCUAACCCGAUUCUCUCUCCUUCGGGUUCGGGCCGAACGAGGCUUCCCGAGAUCCCGAAACUAGAACUCAUUUUAAAGAGACUCUCUAGCCCUUUCCCUUGAGUUAAUUCAAAUGAGAGUGAAUGGUACAUGCCCCCAUGGGGGGUAUUUAUAGCCUAGGGUCCAUGACAAAAGACCAUGGCUAUCCUUGGGGGAGAGAGAAAAGUGGGAGCAGAAUGGUAAAAGUAGCUUCUUGGUCCGUAACUUUUGCGUGCACCAUGUGGCAAAAGUGGGACUUGAUCCAUGGUCCAUCAUGGACUAAGAGUCCCUCCUCACACAUUUCUUGCCACCUGCUCUAACUCAUUUGACCAUUUGACCAUGGCAUGAGAGGUUUGACUUGUUGACUUGUCUUCCUUUGCCACGUAGGAUUGACCGUGCCAUGUGGGCGUCUUGACUAGUACUUGGAAAAUGUUGACCCAGUCGUCGCCACGUAGAUUUACGGCCCGGUCCGGACUUUUAUUUUACUGCAACAUGGGCUAACUAGCUGGCUUUACACGCAUAUUAAGGGUUUAACCUAUACAGCACUCCCUUUUCUUUCUAAAACGUUGUGGCGCAACAGGCCAUGUGUCGGUAAUCACUGGAAAUGAAAUAAAUAAAUCAGUAUAUAACAAUAAACCAUCAAACCUUUUUUUUGGCUAGGGCAAUGAAUCACCAUACGUGAAAAUGAUUUUUUUUCCACGUGGGCACACAACCACACUUUUGAAACUUAUUGAAAUUAAUCACAUCUCUCUAAUUUACAAAAAUCAUGAUUAGAAAAAUCAGGUAUUGGGCAGAAAUUUGUGCCCAGAAUAUUUUUUAUACGAUUAUUUAGAGGUACGUGCAGGUAUUUCUGUGGGACAAUAAUUCCACAAGGAAUUAUUCACGGUGCCCAACAUGCUAUGGUCAGUAUCGAACGGGGACAUUUCAGCAUAGCAUCACUACGUACUGGCUCUACAUACACUGAACAUUCAUCUAUCGCUCAGCUGGCUGAUGUAUUUUGGUCAUCAUCUUGGAAUCUUUUACCUCCAGCUUUGGUUCAUUAUUUUCAUACACGUCGACCUCCGAUGUUAACCCAUGGAGUCAACAUAAUAUACAGGUCUUACGGCUGCAAGUUUGUGACCCUCAGAGUAUCUUUUGAUCCUCCUUAGUUCAACCAAAUGAACUAUUGCUAGUAGGUCUAGUAGGGUCAACAUGUUGCACCUCCAGUAGGUCUACGUACAUUGAAUCUUUAUCCUCGAAUAUGCAUUACAAUAUCAUAAAAACAAGAAAAAGAAUUCAUAUCCUGUUUAGAGAGUUCGAUCGAAAUACCCUUUACUCUGCCUACAGACUUAGUGCAGAUUUGGGUCAGCUCUCUUGGAACUUUAUGUGUUCUAAUCUCAUGUUUAUCGGAUGUUAGUAUAUGCUUCCGUUUCGGAAUACAGAAUGUUUUUUUGUCUGCCUGGGCCUGGUAUGGUAGUAAGCCCGGCUGAAAGUCGCGGCAUUGCACAUGCCACAUGGUACUUUAGACCGGUCCGGGCUGGUAACGGCAGCCCGUGGACUGUUAAACCGAGUGUUGCAUACGCUGGCCAGAAACGAGCCCAUCCCGGCCCAUAAGAUGACCUUCCUAAUGGGAGCAUAUAAAAUCCUGCAUCGGCAGCCGCAGUAGGGUUUUCCUCUCGCGCCGCCGGAACCAAAUCGCAGAAGCAGGUGAGCGAGCAGACGAGGAGGGGAGGGAUGGCGGACAAGAAGGGCGGAGCGCCGAGGAAGGAGGAGGUGGUGACGAGGGAGUACACCGUCAACCUCCACAAGCGCCUCCAUGGCUGGUAUGCUGCGACCUCUGCUCUUGCCACUUCCCCUUCCUGUCACAAGAUCUGACGCGAUCGAGCCAUCCUGAUAUUUACCCAUGCCCUUGCCAUUAGUGAUUUAGUGAUAUGAUUUUAAUUUAUGGCGCCACAUCGCGCUCGUCGCGUACUUUUUGCUGGAAUAAUUUUGUGAUGUUGCUGCUGGUAGUCUGGUAUAUUUAAGAUUUCCAAGUCUUGUUUAGCCGUGAGCCCUGAUGCUAAAUAGUGCCGUAGCGUCACUCCAUUUGUCCAUUUUACUAUCAGAAUUAUAGCUAGCUCCAAGCGCGAUUCAAUUUCUGUUUUUGUCCCCAGAAAGUUUGCUAUGAUUAGUUAAAGCGCCUAUUUGACAUAGCUUAAGAAUGUAUAACCGGUUGAGUUUAAAAGACCUGUUUGUAGAUAAGCUUUAGUGACUGUAAUGGUAAACUCAAUUUCCCUCAUGAGACACUUGUAAGCUGGUUGGACCCGUGGCAAAGCAGGCAAGUUUGAUUCUAGAUAGUUAAGUUCAAGAAGAAGCUGUUUGCUUGGUGCGGGGUUGCUUAAUUUAGGGCUACAUUGGGUAUCAUUGAUGGAAGCCAAUCCCUUGUAUGGAAAUUAGUUCAAUCUGUAGGUCUUGACUCUCGAGCCUUGUCCUGAACUGUCUUGGUAUGAAGAUUUGGCUACUUAAUGAAUUCUAUGGAUGCUCUAUUUUUUAAUCAGACAAUGUUGUUUCCACUCGGUUUGAAUGGAAAAUGGGAGUAGCCCUGCUUUGAGAGAGAAAAGGACGCUCUAUUUCUCUUACUGAAUGUGUACUUAAGGGAUUUGUUUUGAUUCAGGUGAUGCGUGUGGUAUUGUUCUUGAAGUGAACUUUGUACUCUUGAUUUCUUGUAUUCACAUAACAUGGGUUUAGUCAAUUCCUAUUUAACCGUGCUAUGGUACUCAACUUAAACGCUUCAACCCUGAGUUUUUUUGCCCCUCACAAUGAUGCCCGUAUUUUAGGGAACAAUGUUUACUCAUAUUGUAGCACAACCAGUUCGAAUGAGGAAUGUCCUGUGUUGAAGUUAUACCGGUGCAUCUUCACUAAUUCUUUUCAAAUGUUUGACAGUACAUUUAAGAAGAAGGCACCCAACGCCAUCAAGGAGCUCAGGAAGUUUGCACAGAAGGCCAUGGGCACCACGGACGUCAGGAUCGACGUGAAGCUCAACAAGCACAUCUGGAGCAGUGGGAUCAGAAGCGUGCCCCGCAGGGUUCGCGUGAGGAUUUCCCGCAAGAGGAACGACGAGGAGGACGCUAAGGAGGAGCUCUACUCUCUCGUCACCGUUGCCGAGGUGCCUGCUGAGGGUUUGAAGGGGCUGGGAACCAAGGUCAUCGACGAAACUGAUUAAACUCACUGCUUUGCCUACAUCUUUAGAAAGAGUCCUAGUUUUGUACCGCUGCUUCAAGCUUUGUUUUUUUGGUAUCCCAUAGAAGUUUUGGACCAUGGCACAUCACAAGCUUUUUGUUCACCUGAAUUUCGAAUUCCCUGGAAUUGCCCGCUGUUCCUGUUGUGUUCAUUGCUCGUGUUGUGUUCACUGCUGGCUCUGAUCUACAGCUGAGUAAAUACUCUCUGUGACAAUUUGGAAAUAUGAGGUUUAUGGUUAGUUUGUCGUUUGAUAGUUGCCCAAGCACUGUUUCGAAAGGAUUACAUCUAUAUGAUCGGCCAACGCAAGCUAGUCGCCGUGUUGUCGGUGCGACGGACCUCCAAUCUACAUUAAGUACAGCCUCACGUCAGGGCUGGCGAGUCCACAUCGUCGGCGGCCAUCCGAAUGGUCUGACGACCCCGGUCAAAAAAAAAAUGGUCUGACGACGGCGAGUGAUUUCCGUUGGGCCAUCGCAUUCGCACCUAUUCUGCUAUUCAUGUGUAAAGGCUAGUGGAAACAGCUCACAGGAAAGCGCCCUGAGCGCUGUGCUGGUCGAUCAGAUUCGUCGGCAGGAAGAGACAAUAUACAAGUGCUGACAAAAUCGUGCAUCGGGUCACACCAUAGACCAAAUCUUUUAGCUUCAAGGGGCCAUAGAGUUGCUCAUUUCUCUCCUCCUAUACUACGAAAAGAACAACAUAUAUAACACAUAUAGAUAGGGAUGUACAAGGACGGGAUUGCAUUUCCACCGUACCAUUUUGCUGGAGGCAGUUCUGCUGCUACUACAAAGCAGCUUCUUUCAGGGUGAACACAUCGCUAGUGUCGGUCUCCCUACCAUUUUAUGUAUGGUACGGAGUAUAUAGCUACGUAGGAGGGAUUUCCAGGUUUUACACGUUCCGUGAAUCAGUGCCGCUCUGACCAUACCUCUCUCAGGAGAGUGUACCGCGCGUUCUCCAUGGAAGCUCCUCUCAGCUGAGCAGUGAAAGGCGUGACUCCGUUGGACGGUGAAGGUGGAGCGCUCUUGUCGAAUAGGGAUGCGAGGGGGGAGUCCAGGUCAUCCAGAUCGUCGUCGCUGGUGUACCCUCUCCUCUGGACCAUGGAACCUCUCCUGUCUAGCUUUGCGCCGCCUCCGGUGUCCGAAACUUUCUCUGCUACAUCCAGUUGGGAAGGGGGGCGGUACGUAACAGGAGCAGCGAUGCAUGGGAAUGCGCUGGCCGCAUCUUUUCCAAUGGAACGCUCUAGCAAGCUCUGCAUCACAAUAUCAAGUGUCGUGUUAACCACUACAAUACUGAUAAAACUCUAGAGUAUUUUGGUGAGAGAGAAACAACACCUCAGAAUUCAGCUCCUCUAAGACUAUGCUAGGAACAGGAUCAGGACAGAACUCAUCAGGGGUGAAGUUGCAUAGGAUUCUUGUUACUAGUGGUAGGCCAACCGAAGGGCAGAUCUGAUAGAGAUAAGAGAUCAAAAGCUUAAUAACAGCUUAAGCCAACAGAAAAAAAGUACAAUAUUUUGUCAGGACUACGUGAACUGACCUCUUUCCUGAUGGAAUUUUCAAGAAGCAUGUCCUUUGGAAGCAUCAGGAGAUCACUCAGUUCAUUAAGAAGUCGAAAAGAUUUUCCUUCAGCUGCACCACUUCUUUCAUCGUUGCCAUUUCCUAUGUCAAGACAUUCAUCCUCAGAGUCAUCAUCAUCAAUGCCCAAGUUAUCUGUUAACCAUCUCGACCAAUUCCCAAUCUGCAUAGGCAUUUAUUUCAUAUAAAUUGAUUGUUUGAGGUGCAAUGGCAGCUCCGCAACACAUUCAUAAUAUAGGUAACGCAGAAUGCUUUUAUCUUUUAGGCAAGCACCAUCCUAACGAGUAACAAACAACUUCAUAAACAUUUAAGAAAAAUAUUGACAGAUAACUUGAAAGGUGAAUCAGGUACAUACAGAGUUCUUCAGCUGUGCACCUGACCCAAAGCUUAGCUCGCCAGCUGGAAUUGGCAGGACUUUUGGGUCGACAAUUGGGUCAGAUAUAGGAUCAGUUGGUAUCUCACUAGCUGACUCACGAAGGAUGGCAUUAAACAUUGCAACAUCUAAACGGGCUACACAUUGCUCCAUCACCUGAUAAUAGAAGAACACGUGAAUAUUAGCAAUAACAAAAGAUGACCUUUCUUUUUGAUGAAUUAAGGAUUCAAUGAGUACCAGUUUUGCUAAUACUGGCAAGCAGCCACACUCAUGUCCACCAGCACGAAGGGGGCAGAUUCUGCUGAAUGCGUCAUGAAAUGCAGCCUUCCACAGGUUAACAGAAAAUGUGCCCUGCUGCUGAUCACCCAAAGAAGGACCUAACACUUUACCAGCCUUUGGUGUUGAUGAACCUUCUGCCCGGGUUUGCAUGUGAGGGGUUAGUGCCUGGAAAAAAAACACAAUUCACAUUGUGGAGAAAGUAGAGCAUACUUAAAAACAGUAUAGCGUUAAGAGAAUCACAGCAAGUAUUUCUGAAACACUGGACCAGGAUUGCAUGCCUAGUUUGGAGAAAGGGAUGCUCUCAGUGAAAAUGUCAACAAGGUUAUGUGGUCUAAAGAAAAAUUUACCUGCCACCACACAGUCUCGACAAUCCGAGAAAAUAUCCAAGAUUCAAUCUUCUCUAAUGCAGCCAAAAGUGUACUAGUUUCCUGCCAAUCAUCUAGUAUCUGUAUGGCAGCAAGGUUGGUUUGCUUGCCAUUGGAGUUGUUGUUCUGGAGCAUUGGCAUGGAUUUCCCAUCAAACCAUUUUGCACUGUCAUUUAUGUUUUUAGUUUUCAUUGUCGGAGUCGACUGACGUGAGAUGCCAAAAGAUUUUGCAAUUAUCUCCCUGAGGACAACUGUAUUGGAAAGCCAGAAUGUCAACCUACAUCAAAAGCAGAUUGUUAAUGGAGGGAAUUUUAUUCAUAGGCCAUAUCUCAUACGCUAAAGUCAGAAUUGAGAUGAAAUAUAGCCAUAUCCUACCUCGAAGCAUCAUUACUACAGGACUUCGCAACAAGAACGAGACCAGAAACAGUGUUUUUUGCUACUGAAGCUGUCUUAUCUAUGGGCCAAAACUUGGACGCAUGAAUGUACAGCCUUGAAAGACGUCGAGCUGGGGUAUGCAGCUUAUGUGCUGAGCUUCCAUGUUCAGGCAUUACAGAGUAAAGAGAAACUUCGAGUGCAGCAACUUCACGAAGUUCCUGUUCCAACUUCUCAAGUUUUGACUGUAGUUCUUCGUUCCUUUGAUGUAGCACUGUUUUUUCAUCAUCAAUUAUCUUUUCUUCAAUAUCAACAAUGUCAUCAUCAGUACCAGUACUCUGAUCACAGUGUGGAGCUUCAUCUAAGACGUCCAUCUCUUUGGCCUCUUCAAUGCCUCUAUCAUCAGUGGUUCCUGCCUCGCUAAUUAUAUCAUCUGUUUCCUCAGAAAAUUCUGAUGGAGAGCGAGAAGGAAUUUUUACAACAUCUGGUCUUCUAACUUCAAUAGCUUUAGCGGCAUUAACUGCUUUCCUAGGUUUUGGAGAUCUGUUCUGAGUGUCGCUCAAUGCUUUGUGUUGCAGCUUGUUCUGAACUUGACGACCGGUGUUGCUUUUGGCCAUGCGGGGGCUACUUUCUUUUGUCUCUUUUUUCACGAGCUUCUUCGGAACCCCAGAAACUCGUCUCACUCUAUUAUCUUCAUUACCAUGAGCCUCUCCUUGUGAUGAACGAGAAACUCUGGCUGGUUCAUAAUCUGGUCCAGCUCCCUUCUCAUCUCUCACUUCUCCAUUCUCUUUGGCACCCAUUUCAGAAUACCUCUAACAAAUCCAAUGCCUGGAGAAAUAAUAAUUAUAUCAUUCUUACUUAUUUUGCAAGACAAGCAUUGCAAGGUAAGGCUGAAAACAUAGACAAAAGUCAAGUCAGAAGAAAACUACAUGGUUCAAGAAAGAAAUUUGAAAAACAGAUCUGGAAAGUUUUCAGCAUGCACAAGAAGAACAGUGCCACACUAGUUGAUCGAUGUCUAGUCCUAGAAGGUGAAGACACAACUUUCUGAACCGAGAUGACCACUCUCAUUUUCAUACAAUUGAACUCUUAGUACCUUCAAGGCUUCAACUCCAAGAUGUGAUGUCAAAAUCAAGGUGCCAAAGGACCUCCGCUGAUUUAGGCAAACCAUCCAUCCUAUAUUCCUUUUUUUUUACUCCAUCUAUCUUAUAUUCUUAUGUGAUUGGCGAAGAAGGUUCACGGUGACAGAUUGGCGAAGAAGGUCACGGUUGUCACCGUGAACCUACAAAGGCACAUGGGGCCAUACUAUCAAACCACUGGCGUUCCACUCUGGAGAUCCUUAGGUCCAAACAAGUCCAUAAAGGUUCAAGUUCCUGAAUGGCAAGCAUAUAUUUGUUCUAAACUUAUAUCAAUAAAAAGAUGGGAAAUUAACCUGCUGAACUACUUUGCAUGAAACGGCAUAGCAGAGAAAAAGGAGUAACAUAAACACCAAUCAGCAAAUCUUAACCCUUGCCCGAAAUUACCAAUCACCACGAAGAGCAACUAGGAAGGCAGGGGCAGGGCUUGCCAAUAAUUGCCGCAAACGGUGAAUUCACUAAUCAAUGACAUGGAGAAGGACAUCUUAAGGGAAGAAAUUGUUGUCAAUUCGCCGGACGAAAUUCCUUCAUAAAUGCAGAUGGUAGACGAGCACCGACCGAACCGAACAGCCGCUACGGAAUUCCUAACAUAUUCAAUUCUGCGACCAACUCGGUCGUAUCGUAUCACAGCGAAAGCUCCCCGUGGACGAAUGAAUAGGGAAAAGCAAGCAAGCAAGAGCACGCACCGACAAACAGAAACUCAGGAAUGUGGAUCCCGAGCUACCCCCAAAUCCACACCCCAAGUGCUCAAUUCACCACGAAAACGGCAAAACUCCCAGGGGGAACCGUGAGAAAAACGAAUCAAUGCUGCUCGCGUCAACCAGAAAUCCCGGCCACGAACUGACCGGCGGAACUCCAAGCAGAACGACCCCCAAGGGAAUCGAUGAGCAACUAAAAAGGGGACCAAAUCCAGCCCCGGCAGAAACAAACAAAUCGAGAGCCGAGAGCCGCCGCGGGUCAAAUACGGCCCCGGAGAUCCGGUGGAGGCCUCACCGAGCAAUCUCCCAGGCUCGGGAGAUCAAAUCAUAGCGCGGGUGCAAGGGAAGAGAAGAGCGGUGCUCACCUCCAGCAGCAGCACUGACCGCCGCAGCGUGGCGCUUUCGCGGUGGAGCUAGCAGAGCGGGUUCAAUGCUCGGGCGCUCAGAUUCCCGUUCCGGAGCGAGCAGGAACAGCGUCUUCGCGGCAGCUUCUGCUCCGCUUGGGGGUUGGGUUCCUGCGUGUGGAGGUAGCGCGGCCGUCGGCGCCAGAGAUGGGACGCGAGGCGAGGCUCGUGGGUGAACUGGCGCUGCCGGCGUGGGUUUGGAGUGGUAGGCGAAGUGGUCGUCGUGGAGACACGGAGAGAGAGUGCGGGGACGGAGUCGCUGCCGCUUAUAUCGGCCGCCCGUCCAGUGUGUUUUACCUUUUCGGUUUGAACCGUCCAACGCGGCCGAGUGAAACCAAGUAGGAGUACUGUAGUAGUAGCAGCACUGUAGCACCUAAUCUAAUUUUAUUUUAUUUUAGAUACUCCAUUUUCUACUGUAGUAUGCAACCAUCCAAGUGCAUCUUCUUUGCAUUCCCCCCCCCCCCCCCCUCUGUUUAGACUUGCUGCAUUCCAAAAAUAUAAACUAUUUUGCGCUGAAUUUUGUCUGGUGUUUGCUUGUUUUUCUAAAUGUUUCGUGAUGUUCUUCGAAUUCUGCUUGGGUACGGUUUUUAUCUAUUUUUUUAAAAUGAAAACCAUUAACGAAUAAUCUUAUAUCUAUACUUAUACCUAUCUAAAAAAUACGGGCCGUUCCCUACACCAUUGUCGCCUGUCAAACUUCGCUCGCCUCGCCCAACGCCCGUCUCACCGAUCCCUGACCCGACGGCCGACGCCCCUGUCUCACCGCCGAGCAGGCCGAAAUCAUACACAUACACAGCAGGCAGUACUUAAUUGUUGUGCUGAAUUCACUUGAGCUUCUAUGUACAUGGAUACUUUCUGUUGGUCUUCACAACAACAGUAGUACAUAGUUGAUUUUUUUAAUCUAGAGUUGAAUUUUAUGCCUGGAUGACUAUAUGCACUUGUAGGUUUGAAGAAUAGGAUAUCUAGAAUAUUUAUGGUCCAGUCUCACGAGGCUCUUCUUCUGAUGUUGCAUUUGUGUGGGUGUGAGGACUAAUUGUGGAUUAUUGGCAAAAAAAUAUUUCUUGAGUUGACAAUUUAUGUGGCAUCGUCACAUAGAGCUCAUUUUAAUAUUAAGGAUUGGGCUACUGAUCGAAUAAAAUAAUUGUAUUUUACUUUCUGUUACCAAUCACUUCUUUUCAUUGGGAGGAUUGUGAGGAUUAGCAAACAAUGAUUCUGAAAUGUUGAAAGAUAUUUUGUUUUCUUUUUAAAAUUUAGUAUCGUGAGCUUAUUUCUUCGUGAAAAAGAAGUAGAUUUCUUUUUCAAAUUUGUAUCACUGGCCGGGAUCCAAGUCCGAGUUGACAGCCCUCAUGGAAAACCCUCCGAUCGCCUCAUCUCAGGACCCGUGGCACACAAUCUGUGAAGAUAUGAGGGCUCGAAAGAAAGAACUCAAUGACGAAUGCUAUGUGAUUUUCAGAAGGUAUCGUCAUCUUUUGAUAGAGUAGAGUAUAGAGAAAAAAUCUUUAGAAGAAAACUUUUUUAAAAUGAUGUUUGUUGAUUGUCAAAGAAAAACAAAAUGAGAAAUUAUUUAUACAUCUCUUCGAGUGUAUCAUUUUAUUUUGUUAUCCCGUUGCAACGCACGGGCAUUUCGGGCAGUAUUAUCUUAAAGAAAUAAAGCAUGGAACCAUGUAACGGUCAAAAAUAAAGGCGUCGAACAAUAUAUAUUCUAUAGAUUUAAAGUGGGGCCUAAAACUACUUCUCUCUCUCUUUUCUAGACAAAGGGCAUUGUACUAUAACUUCUCUUCUCCCUUUCGUGAUCAUCACUCACUUUGAUACAUUCCCAUGGCCGGCUCUUUAUUCUUCCCAAGCAUACGUAUAUACUUGGAUAUAUACGAGUCUAUUUAUAGUCUCUUGAAGCAAGGUACACAACCCAUACAUACAUAUACCAUACUAUAUGCACCGGCCGGAAAGACAUUCUGUCCCAAAACGUGCUCACCAGACUCGCCUACGGCGAUCCUUCUACCCAUCCCAUAGAAGUCGACGGCGUUGUUUAAUGACCACAUCAUCGAACACGACAACUUUGUGCGUACGCAUCCGUGGACACACUCGGUGUUGAAUGUGGACAGCAUGACCGGCAUACAAUUUUUGGAUCCUUGCAAUGUUGGCAAGUAGUACCAGUACGUGUUUACUCUGCCUUUUCUUCAAGGGAAUCAAGCAGUGUGCAAUUCUGUUUACUAUAUAAAUAUACUGAUGGUACAAGUGUUCGUUAAUUGCAUGUGAAAUUACAUCACCUUUGCAUGCAAAUGCAUUCCCUCUUCUUCUUCUUGUCCGUAGACACCUCUGGAGCCCCAUGGAAGCAAAGCCGAUGGUACGCUGCAGAGUGGGCCAGCCACUGGGCAACACUGCAUUUGUGUUCCUCCAUGUGUCCACUUGUUAUUAGCACUCUUUGUGAUCGGGCAUCCGGCGCCAGUGAAUAAUUAUAUUGCGUGAUUCCCCGGCACACAAAUAAAGAACAGAUCAAAUCUGCCGGCGUGCAAUUAUUUGGCCAAAAAUGAUCAGGACAAACGAACAUAUUCUUCACACUAGCACGGAGAGAAAAAUACCAAGCAGACACGAAAAAGGAAACCCUUUUUCUCCAUUGCGUACAUUUUAUUUUCCUUUUAAUAAAGGGGAGGUGAUCGACCGGACUCUGAUGCGGCCCAAAAGGGUUCGGCUCGCGGUGACCGGCAGAGGCUGUCGGUGGCCACCGGCCGGUUCCGGUCACCGUGGCGCACUCAGAGAAAAUUUGGCUCCACAUAUGAAUGCUCCAGCUACGACGCUGUACUUGGUACUACUGGUAUAGUAUGCGGCUGAUCUAGGACAAGGUUGUGAAGAAACGGAGCCAUCCAAAACCAACCUCUCCAAUUAAGCACCACCACACUAAUAAUACGACUACAGAGUCCCAUUAAGGAUGGCCUAAUUGCAACUAAUGCUGUUCAAAGUAGACCAUGAUGGUGCGACACGUGAAUCCUUUAGUUUGCAGACAGUUCUUCAUGUGUGUACGCCUCGGUGUGUGCUCAAUCAUCUCAGUUCUUUGGUCUCUGCUCUAAGCGGUCGGUGAGGGGGCCUUUUCAGUCUUCACUCAUCACAAUCAUAGCAUGAAAAAUAUUCAUUUCGACAUGAUCCAAAGAGGCUUUGCGAAAGCAUAUUCAGAGACACAUGGAAUUUAUAGGGUGAAUUUGAUAUGCAUGUGGGAUCAAAACAAAGGAAAUUUUAAAAGAUAUUCUUGUUUUUUGGGAGAGAGAGCAAUAGUGCCACAUAUAAGGACAUGCCAACAAGAACCCACCGUAUUGCUUCCUUGCUUUACCUAUACAGCUUGAUCCCUAUUGCUAGUGCCUGAACCCAAAACGCCAUGACCAUACACAGCCAGCCACAGAGGUAGGUGAGCUAGGUACUGACCUGGAGUCACGUUGGAGGCACGUCCAGAGGGCGAGCCAAGCACGCCGGCUGAAAAGGCCAAGAGACCACACAUGUUUUUGAGCAGAUACUACUAUAUGCCUCCCAGUAUUCAGUACUAGUAGAAUGCAUGAAUGAUGAUGAGAAGAAAACAGUGUCGCAUUUGCCUCAAUUUAGGGAUGAACAGACCUGGGAAUAGCUGUUUGAAUGUGAUCAUGAUAUGCAGCAUGAGAAUGAAGCCAGCAGCGGCAACGGGAACAGGAAAUAAAGGGAAACAAUUAUGUUGCAGGCACAUCGGAUGGAACAGCAUGGGCCACUAUGCUAAUGAUACCAUCCAUCCUUUGGCUCCAAGUAUAUGUUACUUUCAUACUACAGGGGAAGUGGGCAGUGAGCCAGUGACUCCCUAACCAGAAAUUCUCAUCAAUUUUUAUCCCAAUUUUUAUUGCACACCUAUAUUCCUUCCAUGUAGAACUACAAUUAAAACGAUCAUCUCAAGAUUAGUUGGAAAAGAAAUGGAGAGUAUUAGCUAGAGUUCUUUGAAAGCUACCGUCAGGUAAGAUGUUAAUGUCACAACAAAAUCGGUUCGUAACCUUUUUGAUAAACAUUGUAAGCUUGCAACAUAAGUUACUGCCAAUGUCUAGCUUUGGAAGGUGAUGUACCUUAUCAGAUCGAAACAAGAGGCAUCCGGUAAAGAACUAAAGCUCUUUAGAAAGCUUUCAAUCUAUGCAAAAGUUGAAACCUGUACUCAUAUGGAGGUAGAUAUAUACAGGCCACCGGAAAAGUUCAUACAUAUCUGGAAAAUGAAACAUUCUAAAAGAGCACGCAUCCAGAGCAGAUCUACAUCAGGGUGUUACAUAAGCUGCCCAAAGGACUAAGGUUUACAGGCUGUAACGUUAAGAAGCAACAAGUUGUAGAUGGAGAUACAUCUUCUUUAUUUGGUAGACCAACAAUUCCAUGAAAUCGACUCUCCACAAUUGACUGGCAGUACUGUGCAUCAGAAGGUACCGACAGUAUUUAGACACAGCCAUUCAGGUUAAAUGUACAAACAAGUGUGGUGUGGCCUUAGUUAUAUAGCUGCUUGUUACCUGACAGAAUGUGAGGUAUUGAAAUAUAGUCCUUACAGUAACCACAUUUCAACUUGAGAACUUAAUAAGACAUUAAAUAAAAGGCCACUGCCGCAUGUGCAUGCUUGUGGUCCAUAGCAAAUGGAACUAGAUCUAUCAUCUUCACUACUUUGUUUAGCAAAAAGUCAGCAAUUCAGGAACAUCAUACAGGUUAAACAUUUUCUGGUGUAUUAAAAUUUAUCUAGUUAAAGUUAAACGCAUUUAUCAUAACUAGUAGGAGACUGACAGUUCAAAGAAUCUCGACAACUGAAUUCAUUUACCAGUUUUGUUGGCAAAAUUUCAACGUCAUCAAAGAUGCCUGUAACUAUGACUAAACAGUAAAACAAUUUUAAUGUCAAAUCAUAAAUAAAAAGGCAUGCAUUGAAAUUCAGGCAGGGUUGCACCAAGAGGCAAGAAAUUUAUGUUACCAAAGAUGCAAGUGCUACAGAGGGCAAUCAUAUAACAUGAGCAAGCGCAGCGCAUGCCUGGACAUCAAAAGCUGCAGUGACAGUAUAAAAUGCUUUUUAUUACUCUUUUCAUGGAUAGUAUACAAGUGUUUUUUGUUGGUAAAGAGGUUGACACUGAUCCGAUCUAGUAAACCACAUGAUGCUCAUGUGUCAGGAUGAAUUGCAGUAGAAAGUUGCGCAGCUCUAACAGCGGUUUCCCAGAAGGCGACGGUUUGGCUGGAAUUUUGAGAAAGAUCGGGGCCACGAACUGCAAAAUUUGAAAAUGUUCACAUGGACACCUAACUGACAGCCAGUAAGAUAAUGACACUUCAUGCAUCAAGUGCGAACUGAACCGACCAGAUAAAGGCAACACAUUUCAGGUAACUAGUAACACAACAUAUGUUUAGUCAAGGAUAGCAUGUGCAUCUGAAGGGCCCAAAAAGGAGAAGACAGUAGUAACACAUAUUUUAACAUUGCUCGAAUGGACAACACCAGCCCGCUAACCAUAAGCACAACCAAGGAUUCCGUUGGAUAAACAAUCAUGACUCCAGGUUUAUGUUUCCAAGGCACCCCAACUUAUCCAUCCUCUGGCCUGGUGCACCGAAACAAUCUGGGCCAAGAUACAGCAUGGGCCUUUUUUUAAAAAGAUUUCUGGCUUCCUUUGGCGCCACCUAACUGGGCCAAAUAAAUAUCAAGACAUAGCACAAUCUUGUGGUUAGAUAUUCGCAUGGUUUAUGAAUUAUGAUGGUUGGGCCAGAACAUAUACAACAUAUAGACAGGAAAGCCGCCUGCCUACAGGCUUUGACAUUUGGUGAAGAUUCCUUCAUAUACGAGUAUGCAACAUAGACAGGCCCUAACCAAGAGGCCCAAGACCAAAUCGCAACCCAAGGAGAGUUUGAUUGGCUUAAAUGCAAAACUUCUCUAUGUGGAGUAUUUUCAUAUUUUCACAAGUAACCAACCCUGUUGGCAGCUUGUGGAAGAAAACGUAUCAGAGACACCUAAACACAACCAGAGAGAUCCACUAAAUAAAUUUCAGCGAUAUCAGUUUUGCUAAUACAGAAACAUAGGGUUCCUUUUUUUUAGAGCAAAUACAUUUUCGACAGGUUCCAUUUCAUGGGAAUGAAACAGGAGUUUCAGGUCAGUGCAUGCAUUUGCCACCCUUAAUAGGAUCAAAUACUUGGUCACAUUUCAUCAGCAAGAAUUAAGACCGCCACGGUGCCAAAGGACGGCGCAUUCCACUGAUAAAUGGAGAAUUCAAGCAAAACACAAGGAUACAUGAUAAUUCACCUAGCGCGGCCACGAAACAGGAACAUGGAUGGAUACAGGUCUCAACCGCAGCCCCAACCGUUGGCGGAAGGAACACAACUACAGUACUGAACUACACAAGCCAGACAGAGACAGCCAUCUUACUAGCGCCAGAACGGACAGAAAAGUCUAGAGUUCGGGGAGACACCUGACCAGCGAGUUACUCGGCGCCGGCUUCGCCCUCAGCGGCGUGCUCCUACUGGCGCUUCUUGCGCUCGUCCUCGUAUGCUAGCCAGCACAUGCCGCAGAACCACAUGUCCCAGUCCUCUUCCUUCCAGUCCCCAAACCCUGGGCUGCGGCGGCGGUUUCCGGCUGAAGGCUUGGCCUUUGUGCGCUUGGGCCGCUCCUCCUGCCCUAGCGUCGCCCGCCCCCGCCCCGCUCCCUCCCCGCCGCCGCCGCGCGCGCAGCAUUCCCCACGCCGGCGCGGCCGUCGAGGUCGCCCGCAUCGAAGCUCUCCGGCGGGGCGUGCCGUGUUCGAGAUCGGGAAGCGGUGUGCUACUACAGUACUGCUGUCGCCUGUCGUGGAGGUGGGGAACGAGAGGAAUGUUUUUUGGUGUUUUUUUUUUCUUGACACAACGGAGAGGAAUUCUUUUUUGGUUUUUUUAGAAGCUACGGAGAGGAAGGUCAAGUAGUCAAGAGGCGGAGACGGUGAGACGUCGGCUUCGGGCAGUAAAUUGGCAUUCCUUCCGUUCCAUAAAUGUAUCUGACGGGUUUUUUAAAUAAAAAGAAAUUGAUACAUUCAAUUUUGGACAAAUUUGAGACAGAAAUUAUGGAACGGAAGGAGUACGCUAGAGCUAGAUGUCAGGUUCGGUUAAGAGUAAAAUACAUCAGAGGUCCAAAUUCUUUCGUAAAAGUUUCGAAUUAGUCCUAAUUUUUUGAAAUUGUAAGUUUGAGUCCCAAUUGUUUCAUAAGUGAUUCAGCACAGGUCCGAUGGUGUUCGGACGUGUGACUCCUGCCGACGUGACUAUUUGGUCCCACAUGUCAGGUGCCAAGUUGGACAUUUGUUUGCGAAAACCCCCCUGACUCCUCUUUUCUCUUCCAGUGCCCCUCUCCUCUUAUUCCUCUCUCCUCCCCGAUGCUCUCCCCCCCUCUGUUUUUUCCUCCCCAACCACUAAUUCCGGUGAGCUCCCUCCCCUCGCCGCGGUGGCCCGCCCUCGCGCCCCUUCCUCCCCAAUCCCUUGCUCAACGCCGCCGGUGCCCCUGCCCCUGCCAAGCGGCCCCCCCCUCUGCCCGUGGCCAUCAUCACCGCCGGUUCCCCUGCCCCUGCCAAGCGGCAGCGUUGCCGCCUGGCCCCCUUGCCCAUGCCCAACGCCGCCGCUCCUGCCCCAAAUCGCAUGCGCCGCAUGCAACAUGCCCAGCGCCGCCAUCUCCUCGCCUGCUCCCCCCGCGACAUGCCCAGCGCCGCCCCUACUCCAUGCCCAGCGCCGCCAUCUCCUCGCCUGCUCCCCCCGCGACGUGCCUAGCUAGCGCCGCCCCUACUCCAUGCCCAGCGCCGCCAUCUCCUCGCCUGCUCCCCCAGCAACAUGCCCAGCCGCGCCUCUCUCAUUCCCAUCCCCAGCGCCACCAGCACCCAAAUCAAGGAGACCCCGAGCUCGAGAUCCACACCGCUCCUUCCUUCCAUGUGCGGCAGCCGGCGGCGAGGGCAAAGAAGAAGAAGAUGGCGAGGGGAGGGAGGUCCAGGUGACAACGUCCCCGCACGGCAUUUCGUCGAGCAACGCCCAUGCGAUGGCGGCGCGCGACAGCUUUGAUGUGCGCGGCGAGGACCGCGUGCAGGAGGAGCACGUGGAGCGCGUCGGCGCGGCGGGGACGCGGAGCAGCGCGGCGGAGUUGAGGACAGGCCGGAGGGUGUACUCGUCGGCGGGGAGCUCGCCGGAGUUCGUGGCUUGGAGGAGAAGAACAGAUGGGGAGAGAGCAUCGGGGAGAGAGGAAUAAGAGGAGAGGGGCACGGAAAGGAGGCAGGUGGGUUUUUCAAAAAAAAAUGUCCAAACUUCGCACCUGACAUGUGAGCCAAUAGCCACGUCGGUAGGAGACACACGUCCGAACCAUCGUAAGACCUGCGCUGAACCACUUAUGAAACAAUUAGAAUUCAAACGUGCAGUUUGAAAGAAUUAGGACUAACUUGAAACCUUUACGAAAGAAUUAGGGCCUCUGGUGCAUUUUAUUCUUUGGUUAAUGUGAUUUUCUUGUUUAAAAUGGUUUAUGUAUUUUGGUAGAUACGAUUCGUUUUCGGUAAUGAACAUAUAGUUUCAGGUUUUUUGAGGAAAAAACGGUUGUUUACGUCAUUCGAUUAGAAGGAGUGAAACUGUACAGAGGCGGGCUCCUAAAAGCUUAAGAAGAGGGGAGGGGAGAAAAUAAAAGAGAGAAAAAAAAACCCAAGGAAGGGGAGGCUAACUGUCUCCCGUGGUCGAGAGAGAUAUAGUUUCAGAUUAGGUAAUGACAUUAACCAAAAUUAAUCAAAGUUGGAGUUUUUGAGCAACACGUAAUUGUUUGUCGCAUGUUCUAAAACCCAAAUACUCUAUCCAUGUUGGAGUAACACAUAAGUUGGAGUACCAUGUUGCUGUUGUCUUAACCGCAGUGAGACGGCGCAAACAUUUUUAUUUUGUAAAGACGGCACAGACUAUCCAUUCUCUGCGAACAAGAAUAAUAAGCUGGCUAUUAAGCUGGCUCUAUACUCUUGACACGUCACCUAAAGUCAUCGUAAGUAAGCAUUGGUAUUAUAGGCUGGCUACUAGAUGGAUCUAUUGAAUCCUUGGCAUUUAAUGCUUGCAUGUACUUUACCAAUGAGAAAACGGAUCUGCCGUAAAAAAGUGAGAGAAAGAAAAGAACCACCCGCUUGCAGCCAGCACCGGGCUGCAUGCUAGCUUUUCCUUUCCGUGUUCUGUGAUACAUCCGGACGACUCAGGAACAGCCCGCUUCAUUCUCUUUCAUCCUUUCUUGCUUCUCCCGAUGUGUUUUUGCUGACAUGGAAUGUGUUGUAGCCUGCUGACUGGGACUAUUAAACUUGCUCUCAGUGUGAGGCACGGAAGACACGGCCCCGGCCUUUUGCUGGUGGGCUGGACGGCUGGCCCACUACAAGCAAGAGUGGUCCAAAUGUCCAUUUACAUUUGCUCAGAUCUUGAGCUACAAGCCUGAGAAAUAGGCUGUCAAAGUUUAUCAAAAGCAAAAGCUCUGUCUGUGUACGUGGUGGCUAGCAGAGCAGUACUGUCUUUUUCAUGCGUUCAUGCCUUCAUUCAUGGACCGAGCACGGCACAUGCAGCAUUUAACAACGGAAUGCCCCAAACCAUGAGCAGUUGAAGUGUGUUUGACUUUCUGUCACCUGUUAUCACGAGUUCAUAAUACUUUCUGCAGGUUUACCACAAGAUCAAGGAAGAUCGCGAUUACUUCAUCUUUCUUGUUAUUCCUCGAAAUCGAUUAUAGAUUAAUUCUCGUAACUUUCUAUCAGCUGUUACUGAUUUGAUCAUAUCUUUUGAUCUUUUAAGUCCAAUUGAGCUAAUUCUCGUUGCGUUGGUUAGAUAAUUUCAAUCCUUUCUUUUGCAUACUCAUACGUAUUUUCUGGUUCAUCCAAUCAAAAGUUACGGCUGUUUUACCAUCACGAACAGAAAGGUGAUUUAGGAUUUGAACUUUCAGGAAAAGUUUUAAUUUGCUUCCGCACAAUCAUUCACCCCCCUUCUGAUUGCCUAUCUCGAUCUCACAGUUACUAUCCAAUACAGUAACAAAGUUAACUUCCUUUGACAAGGAAAGGAUCAUAUCAAGUAACAAAUCAUGGAGACGACAACCAGUUAUGAUGCCUUCACCUGGGAUUUCUAUCGGUUGGAUCAUACUUCUGUUUAUAAGCUCGUUGAAGUAUCCCUCUCCUACCUCAAAUAACCUUUUCCUUGGUUCCUCACAGAUAAAUCCUUCGGCUACCCACUUCCAUAUCGAAGUUUUUUUCUCUAUCUCAAAAUCUUCAGGAUAGAUGCCUAGAUGCAAUAAACAAGUCCUCAGAUAGCAUGGAAGAUCAUAGUAGCUAAACAGCAAAAUCUUCCUUGUGUUAUCAACCUGGUUGUUAUCUCCAUGCCCAAAACCAAUAGAGUUAUACACCUCGGACCAAUCCUCGUUGGGUCUACUGACCCACAAACUAGCUAUUGUAAUAAUAGCUAAUGGUACACCACCACAUCUCUGUAAAAUCUUUUCGGAUACUUCAACUGACUGAUCAUAGGAGUUUCCACCUUUACCAAUAGCUAAUCUUUUAUAGAAUCAUUCUAUUGAUUUAUCAAGAGACGGCGGCAUACGCCGCACACCACAACAACCAAAGAGAGAAGGAGGACAGGUUCAUGAUCGUGGGCGAACAGGAGAAGACCAAGAGCCUCCGGAUGGGGACCGGAAGGCAACGGACGUCGCGCCCAGACGCACGCAUGAGGAGAUCGAGGAAGAUCAGCAGGCAGCGGACGAUGCGCCGAUCAUGAAUAGGUCCAUGGACAUCAAGGCUAUGCGGCCGCCUUGACCGCGGCCAGCCACGACGACACGCACUCGUCCAAAGGGGGCGCCGUACAGGGAGAUGACGUUCUUCUUUCACCAUGGUACGUAAAGAUCCAUCUACCUUCCUCUCUUUCUCAGGUGCCAUGGAGAUAACGCAGGCGGGAGGCAUGCCCUUGUCUCUGGAGCUUGGCGGCGUGAUUUUGCGACCACCUUUUGACGUGGUCGUCGUGACUGCCGUCAUGGGCCGUGCGUCCUGUUCUGGCGCCCGCUCGUUGCGGGAUGUCGUCUUCAUCAAUAACUAGCACACGUCCGUCCACAGCGGUGGUACAGUCGUGGACGAUGUCUACGUACUACACACCCUGGCAGGGUGUUCUUCACCAACAAGUGCCAUCAUCAAGGCAUGGUAGCCAUGCCCAUGUGGUGUCCACUAAGACACCGCCCUAUAUGGCGCCAAACAGGUGCCUUCUCUUGCUGCCUCAAGCACAACAACGCACACACGCUCAACCUGCAAGGGCAGCAUGCACGACAAAUACAUGUUGAAAAGCAUGCGUUCUUCUUUCAUCAUGGUAAGUACGGUUUCCUCUAGCUUUCUCUUAUUCUUGUCUACCCAGGUGCCAUGGAGGUGCAUGCAGGAGGCAUGCCAUUGUCUCCAGAGCUUAGCAACCACACUCUAACGCCCGCCCGACGCGGGGUGCUGUCUUCAUCAAUAGCCCGUCAACGGCCGCCUAAGCACCUUCGUGUGCGACGGUGCGGAGUGGGGCGACGUCUACACAGUGCUCGCCCCGGGCGAAGCGCUACCUUGCUGAACAGGGCGUGGUCUCCAUCUACAAGCUAGUCAACAUCCAUCUGAACGCCGCCGCCAUUGGCGGCACAUUUGUUGGUGAUUUCUGCAUCAUUCGUGUCAUCGGGAGGGGCCCGUCGACCUGCAGCUCUCCCCCAUUGUCAAACGACACCGCUCAUGCCGGCCUUCUACGUGGUGUCUAUCAAUACACCGCAAUACAGGGCGCCCUGCUUACAUGUCCUUCAUCGACCCGGCGUCGUGACGCCGCCAAACAUGGCAGCCUUCUACCUGGUGUCCGUCGAGACACUAAGCCCGUCUUGCCGCAUCCUUCAUCGACCCGACGUCAUUGCUCACAGCGGCCUUCUACAUGGUGUCCGUGGAGACAUCGCCAUACACGGCGCCCGCCUUGGCGCACUUUUCAACAACUUCAUGUCAUGCAUGUCACCACUCGUGGCGGCCUUCUACGUGGUGUCUGCUGAGACACCGCCAUACGGGGCGCUCGUCUUGGCGCAUCCUUCACAGGUUAGUGUUGGUCCUGGUGGCCUUCUACGUGGUGUCCGCUGAGACAUCACUAUGUACACGGCGCCCGCCUUAGCGCAGUCUUCACCAACUUGGCAUCAAUACGAUGUCGCUCGUGGCGGUCUUCUACGUGGUGUCCGCUGAGACACCACCAUACACGGCGCCCACAUUGGCGCACUCUUCACCAACUUCGAAUCAGCAUGCCGCUACUCAUGGCGGCCUCCUACGCGGUGUCCGUCAAGACAUCGCUACACGGCGCCCUCUUGGGCGCAUCCUUCAUUGACUCAUGGCGAGGUCUCUUGCACCUCCGACAGCAUCUACAUCAUCGUCUUCAACAUCAAGUCUACUCUCUCAUCCGCAUUGCCGAUGGCAUUCCGACAUCUAAGCAUCUUCUCCAACACCGACUAAGCACCGGCGAUGCGAAUCCACUCCACCGACAUGUCCUUGUAUCGAUGAAGUGCAUCACCACACCACAUGCUCUUGCUUGGCACCAACGCUAGGUGACGGCAAGACAUCCUGUCCGGUCCGACGAGGCGGACAUUUUACAGGCCGGGUACUGACGAGGCGAAGGCCACUUCAUCAACCUGUCUAGCUGACAAGGCGCGUGUCAGCUAGACACUUCAUCAUACAGCGACAAGACGGCGUAGCACGCCGUUCAGCACCUGCACGGUCGAACGGUCGUGGCUUAGCAUCGACGGAGCGGGGUCGUACCACCCCUCUCUUCCUAUUCAUCACCACCAUCUUCUGCACCAAGCACAAGGAGAAGACAAUACUUGAAGACGACACCAUUGCAGCAGCUUAAUCGGAGUUGGUCUGCAGGAUGUAAUUAAGCGGGAGCUUUUCGAAGCCCUGUGAACCAAGAAACCGCAAUCGCCUAUGUCAUGUUGGCCGUGUUAGCAGGCCACACGGAGCGCAUGAUGUAUAAGGGAACUUGUAAUUUCGUUUCUCCAUGAUGAGAUUAAUAAAAUACAUGCUUUUCUACUUUGUUUUAUUUAUUUGUGUACAUUAGUACACUGGCACGCCCGCACCUUUUUCUUUUUCCUGGAGCGUUUGAGAAAAUACACUGUCUGUCUUAGAGUUUCGUUAUUUUUCUCGCCAAACAAAGUGGUUUAUUGCAGCUGUGUGUUGGCUAACAGGUUAAGGAACAGGAACAGGAAAACGGUGGUGCUGCCACUGCAGAAGUGCAGAUACAUAGGACAAGAUAUCACACUCCCUGAUCAUAUGCUGCACAGACUUUUAACUUGAUGCAGUCCACUUUUUCGAAGCAGCUGCACUCUGAUAGCCAAGAAAACAAAUCACUAGUAAAAAAAAGGGAGAAGAAAAGAAACGAAGAGAAAAGAAGGCCAGGGGAGUUUCAUUUUCCUCGCCGCUAAUUCGUCGGUCACUCACACGAAACGCCAGUACAAUUUGUCUUCUUGACUUGUUCUAUACCCAAACCUAUUAGCAACCCAGGUUAACUCGUAUACGAAACACACACACAAGUAGUCGUACACACAACCGUUGGUACGUGCAGACCGUACACACACCUCUAUACAGUACGGAGUACGUCGUUACUGCACGGUACACCACGCGGCCGUCGCCAAAUCACCGGAAGACUCGUACGUUUACGUGCACUUGCCGAGCGGGCCCCCGCAGAGGCAGCUGUUCCCGGCGAAGGACUCGGCGUCGAGCCGGUCGAACGGCGGGCCCCUCGGGAUCUCCCCACAAAGCCGGUUACGGCUAAGAUCAAGGUGCCCCACGUACGCCGCCGAGGAGAGCGACCGCGGCACGCCGCCCGUCAGCCGGUUCCGGGACAGGUCAAGCAAGAUGAAGUACGAGUCCUUCGUGAACACGUCCGGGAUGGGGCCUUCCACGGCGUUCCGGCUCAGGUUGACGAUCCCGAGCCCUUUCGUCCUCAGCAAUCCCGCCGGGAUCCGGCCCGAGAUGCCGCCGUUCCCGCCCAGGUACAGCGACGUCAGCACGCCGUUCUUCUUCCCGGAGGUUCCGAGGGUGUCCGGGAUCGGGCCGCUGAGCCGGUUCUCGGCGAGGUCGAGGUCGGCGAGCCGGGUUAGUAACCCGACGGAGGACGGGAUCGUCCCCGAGAGCCGGUUCCGGCUGAGCAGAGCACGGCUCAGCAUCUUCAGGCUCCCGAAUUCCGCCGGGAUUGACCCCGUGAGCUCGUUGUUCGCGAGGUCGAGGUGCUUUAACGAGCCCAGGUUAGUAAUCUCGCUCGGGAUGUUGCCGGAUAAGAGGUUAUCCGCGAGGUUGAGCACCGCGAGGCGGGAGAGGGUUCCGAGAGCCGGGGGGAUUUCCCCCGAGAGGCGGUUGCCCGGGAGCUCGAGGACUCGGAGCUCCGGGAGCGAUUGGGCCCCCAGGCAGGCCGGGAUUGGGCCGGAGAUCUGCUUCCAGUCGGCGAUGACGAGUGUCGAGAGGCCCGUGAGGAUGCAGACGCGGUCGGAGAUGUAGCCUGACAUGAGGCCGGACGCUGGGAUGCCCGAGAGCGCCAUGACGGCGUCGAGGGGCGCUUCGCCGCGGAGGAUCAGGGAGGUGACCCGGCCCGUGGCUGGGUCGCAGCUCACGCCGUAGUAUGUGGAGCAGCAGUUUGUGGUGUGGUUCCACGUGGAGAAGACGCCCAGGUUGUUGGAGUCUGAGAGUGCCGCCCGGAUCGAGAGCAGCGCGUCCCGGUCGGACUCCGAGCAUGCCGCGGCGGCUGCGGAGACGACGAGCGUCAAGAGAGUGGCGAGUGGGAGGAGGAGCGGCGUUGCCAUUGCUUUGGGAGCUCGACCGAGAGUGGAGAGCGGACAGUGGUGAGUGGUGCACGUGAGCUUGCAGAGCUCAGUGUUUAGUAGAGGCUGGCUGGCUGGCUGGGAUGAUGACCGGUUUGCCCUUUGGUAAUAAGCGCGUCCGUCAUCAUGCGUUCUUGUGUUACAAGUUACUCCAGCUUCGAGACCAUACUUGGUUGCAAACUAAAGUCGGGUUCAGAGGAACUGCUCGAUCUAGACUUUCAGAAUCUUCAAGGGUACAAGCGGUACACGAGAUACGUGUGGGUGGGGACGGGGACACGAUCGAGUCCCAGCGGGGCACGUGCAGUGCCGGGUGAGGCGCACCCAGAGCGCCUUAAAUCUCCUCUCGCCACACACCGUGGGGAGUGUCACUGUGUCAGCGCGUGCCAUACUGUUUUUUUUUUAAGGAUGCACCAGCAGGUACAUUGUCGAUUAAAAAAGAAAAACCAGAAAGUUAGUAUAAUAUCAUAGGCAAAACAACGUCACAAAAGAAUGGCCAAAAAUAAGAAAAAAACUACUCGCUGUCUUAUCCAACCAAUCGUCGCACUAGUCGCAAACAGAAACCCCUGCCCCUAAGGAGUCUCGCGUGCUCCCAAGGCACAAAAGCCAUACUGUGUUCUUCGCGGCCCAGAGAUCUGGAUGGAUGCAUGAGUACUGGACCGAACCCUAUUCAAUGCCACGCCACGACGCGGCCCGGGGCCGUUGGAUCUCGAUGCGCACGGCAGAUUGACAGACGGACCCGUAUGUUUGCUCGCCGAUCGAUCACGGGGACCAGCUACAGAAGAGAAGCCAGCGUCUCUUUCGCCAAUCUCGACAGGUACCUGAAUGUAUUCAGCAAUUAACGAAUAGCACGAGCGAUCGAGUGCAUGGCACCACCGAGAUAUGACCAUUGGCUAGCACACAGAAGGUUGAGCUAGAUACAGUACGACGGUCGGCCCCGUGCACAUGCGUGGAUGAAAAUGCAUGGAUGGAUGGGCUCGAUCGAUCGCUUCACGUUCUCGUAUACGGUCAAGAUGGACAACGUUGAUCCAUGCAUUUCUUUGAAAGUCCAGUGUAAAAACUUGAACAACAAGGGACAUCGCUGCUGCGUGCUUUGGACACAUGGUGGGUCACUCUGUCAUGUCAUGGCCACGAGCUAGAACGCAGAUGCAGUGUAAAGUGACAAGUCUACAGCAAUAUCUGUAUUACGUGUACAGUUCAAAACGCACAUUAUUGCAACAAACAUGACGCACGUUAUUGCAACAAACAUGGAUAUUGACAUCGUACAUGCUAACAAUCUAACAUGCGUGGAUCGUGUACAGGAGUUAUAUAUGCAGGAGUAGCCAGCAUAUAUACACACACUGCUAAUAUGGAUAAUUCAACCUCCGCUAAUCUAGCACAAAAGAAGGGUAAGACGAAGGAUCGAAGAAAUCACUCGAUUCCGAAAGAAGUAAUCCAUGCACGCGCGUUCAUGUUCUGAACGGUAUAUCUAUCCGUAUCUCACGAGUACGUGGCGUGGCCUUGUUAUUCGCGAAUCGCGAUCCACGUGGAGCAUGAUAUGCAUGCAAGCAUGGCUUAAUUCGUGCACCGUAGCUUUAAUUAGCCCGGUUCUCGGUCUGUAGUACAUGAACACACUUUUAGUCUUUUACUGUCAAUAAUAUAUCUGACAAAGAUAUAACAAGGCCACACACUUUGCUAAAGCUGACGCAAUCACGCAAAGAGGUUAUGCUAGCUUGGAAAUGCACUAUUUUCUUUAAUGAUGUAACCACAUGAAAGUGUACCCUAUAUAUGUGAUCUUUUCUUGGGGGUUUUGCGGUGCUUUUUUCUGUUCGCUACCCAACCAAUGACUGAUGCGUGCAUGUUAGAUUCGAGAUCAAUCGUAUGCUGCAAUUAGCCUGACAGGUGACCAUGCUCACAGAUGUCUAGAAGAAGGAUGCAUGCUUCGACCGGUCGCUUUGGUACCUAGCUGUGGGAUUUGAGAUUCCACUGUUACAAAACACAACAUAACUGACGGGUCAUCAGUGACGGGCCUUCCCCGCCUGUCACUGAUGAAUCUCAUCAGCAACGGGCGUAUAAAACCCGUCACUGAUGAACCCUCGUCAUAUCUGAAAAAUCGCAAAAUUCACCAAAACACAGAUUAGUGGGGCUUUACAUCUACGCCCGCCACUGAUGACCCCUGGAGACCUUUAAAGAUUGAAAAAAUCAUAACUGAUUCAUAAAAAAAUCAGAAAAAUGUGAUUCUUUUUGCUAAAGUCUUUUUUUUUUGCUUAACAUAGUGGAACAAUAAGAUCAUAUGGUAACAUUUGAAAAAAUGAUCUACAUAGUACAAUCUUGUUAUUUCUCAUAGUUGAACUUUGGGUUUUAAACAAAUGUCAAAAAAGUUAAUUCUUUGACAUGGAGUCCUCUUAUGUGUACUAGUUGCUAGGAAAAUUCAGAAACUUGAAUUUUGACAAAUGUUUAAAAAAACUUCACAAAAUGAACUAUCAUGUCUGAUGUUUAUGUGUUUCAAGUCAAAUGACCAAAGUCACAGCCAUGUAUAUAACAUAGUUCAUGAUGAUGUAUUCAUUUUUCGUAUAUAGGUGCAUCUUCUCAUGUCAAACAAUAUUGCCAAAGACAUUUGUAAAUGUUAGGUUCAAAAAAUAUGAGUUACCCUUUUUUAUAUGUUAUUAUUCAUAUUUGAGACCAUCAAUAACGGACUUUUACCUUUAGACCCGCCACUGAUGCUCUCUGGAUAUUUCCUGCUAAUAAGCACAGAUCCGUGUGCUCUCACCCUAUUGGCCUAGCGACGAAGGCAUCGGAUCCACUGGCCCACCUCUCUUUCUCUUCCCAUCCAAGCUCCUCCUGAAACCUUUUUACUCCUCAUCUCCCUCGUUCUCCUCCCGAUCUGGCGUCUCCAUUCUCUCUCGCUUCUCUCCUGCGUGGGCGCCCAAGCCUCCGUCCCAAUCCCCCUUCUCCCUCCCUUCUCUCUUCUCCUUCUGCCGCGGGCGCCCAAGCCUCUCCCUUCUCCUCCUGCCGCGGGUGUCCAAGCUACAUGCCCCUUCCCUCUCCUCUUGCAGCAGGUGCCCAAGCUACUCGAGAACCUGCAGCAGCGGCGAAGCUUGGCGGUGCCGACGGAUCCACCGCCCCUGACCUUGCUCGCGGCCGACCCGGACUUCCUCGACCCCGCCGCCCCCGGAUCCGGCGCCCUCGACCGCGCAGCCGCCAGAUCCACUUCCCUCGAAUCCCGUCGCCGCCGGUACUCUCUCCCUCUCUCUCCCUCUCUCUCUCUCUCUCUCGCUAGUGCAGAAGUGAUUUUCUAUUGUGUGCAUCGAUCUGGGACUGAUUUGGGUACUUUGUGGACGUACGCCCCUUCUAUCUCUCUCUCUGAUUUUUGUACGUGUUGAUGUGCAACACAAUAAUCUGAUUUCUUUGGUGUAGAAGCAACGGGCAAGAGAAAGGGAUUGCAAGAAAUUGUGACUUGUUCUUGGUGUAGAAGCAACAGACAAGAAAAAGGGAUUGGCGGAAAUUGCGACUAGUCCACGUAGCCCGUCUGUGACUGCCGCCGGCCGAGGCCGGUCUUCUCCGGCAGCCGCCGCCGCCGCUGACGUAGGGCACGACGAGCAGGCGUCCACAGGGUGGGAUCUGGGGCAGGCCUGGGGCCUGGCCGUGUUUUUUUUUAUUUUCUCCGAACUGCAUCAGUGGCGGGCGGGUGUGUGUGACCGACAGUGAUGUCUAGGUACAUCAGUAACAGUCGGGGCGACCGUUUCAUCAGUAACACGAAGUUAGUAACGGCGGCCCCGACCGUUACUGAUGUUUUUUUUCGACUGUUACUGAUAACCCUUUCUGUAGCAGUGUUCGAUAUGAAAUUCAUUCAUGGAUUUGGGGAAAGUGCCACACUGCCACUCUGUAGUUCGAAUGGGCAAGAGGUUUUUGACAAAUAGAACAUCAUGCAUGAAUACGUGGGGUCUGGACUCUGGACCACGAAAGAACACGAUGGUCAAAUCUGGAUCCGGGACCCAGGAAUUCUCGACCCUGUACAUGUUGGCUGCCGACGUAUUUUCGUGACAGCAGUUGCAUUUGUUUGAACUAGCGGGGUGACUCGCGCAGUUUGCGCGGCUAGAAUUGUAUAAUGAAAAAUGAUAUCUAUAUUGAUUUAUUUAUGCAAUUCAGAUGUAUUUUUGUUUGGGUACGAUAUUUUUUUGAAAUAUUUGAUUUCUUUUACCUACCAAAAUAUAUGAAUAUAUGGUUUUGAAUGCUUAGAGUGGUUUUAAGUUUCCACAGGCGAUCGACGAAUCGAUCUGUUGCUCUACGCGAAUAUCAGGCGCAUGACGUAGCUGAUUCGUCGGGCUAGAAAAGGACAUCAGAUUCAGCUACUUCUGGAUAAGCUGCUCAUUGCGGUAAUCAACAUAUUAUUACAGGAACAUCUCAAAUUGCUUUGCAUGUACCUACAUGUGACGGAUUUAAACAACGUGCGUAAAGAAAUUGGACUGUCUAUAUUAUGUUGCGCCAAAUUUAGACCCAAACAAAUUUAGACUAUCCGAUAACUUUAGCGAAAUCUAGAUCACAGAAUUUCUGCUACUUUAGUUAUAUAUUAGAUAAUUAGAUUAUUUUAAGUUGAGUUAAUUUUAUAAAACCACAUAUUUUGUGGCUAUGGUAUUAGAGAACCACACUUAUACUAAUUUUUUAAUGAAACCACAACUCUAUUAGGUAGUGGUUCUUCUCAAAUAAACCAAGUCUGCCAGUUUAGUGCGUUUGACAACGUUUUUGACAUGUGUGGUUAUCUAGUGCAAUUUGUAUCUAUUAGGCGUAGCCACGACGCUCCACAUGAAUUCUCCCUUAUUCCGCCAUGUUGCUUCCGUUUCGGCAGCCGGUAGCGAGAGUGUGUCCGACUUCAGUCCCUGGUUGCUAUCAUGGUUGUGGAAUUAGGUGUGUCUACAGUAGAUCGGCUUCCGGCUGAUGCUACCGGUCGAACAGUGUUGUCGCGGGCAUGAAUUUGGCGAGGUGUAUCUGCGGAUGGAUGGAAGCCCAAGGUGCUUGGUACCCAUGUCUUUUCAUCGUAUAUAGAAAGCAUCAUGUAAUCCAUGUUGUUUUAUUUUCUUUUUCUUUUUUUGAAAAAGAUCCCUCUUCGGCUAUUGAUUUCCUAUUUGCCCUAUCUCUUCCGAUCAGUAUCCCCAUAAGUACGAUAAAACCUGUUUUACUAUUUGCCCUAUCUCUUCCGAAGAAGGGUGUUCGAGGUAGCUUCUGGAAACCCAUCAAAUCACUCAUUAACACUGCCUGGAAAGUGGCGACCAGGGGAAAACUAGCUGGUUAAGGCUAUAAAGACGAGCCUCACCACAACCACAGGUUCCCUUGCCAGCAACAGCCGCUUGGCAGUGUGUUCUGUGGCUACUAUUGCUGUCACAUCCUUAUGGAGAAUGCUAGCAUGUUCAAGCCUGAGUGGAAGGGGUCAGUCGCGGCGAUGGAAGAAUACUGGCGGCCCCGAAUGAUAAUGGGACACCGACCUAAAUGGGUCGUGUAUAACAUUCAAAGAGAGUUCGCCCAUCUCAUCAACAAUGAGGUCAUCAAGCCUAGUGGGGACUUCUACGAACGCGUGGAACAAGUGGUGUCUAGGGUUCACCCACAACAUUAGGACCUAACUUGAAAUGAGAUACAUUUGUAUUCUUUAUAUGCUUCUAUGAAAUUUUGACACUUUGUAAUCAAUGUCGUGAAGUGAGAUAUUUUUGUAUUCUUUAUAUGCUUUAAAUGAUGCGCCUUUAUAUACAUUUGUAUGGUUUAAAUUAUGUGAUGUGAUGUGAUGUGCUGUGAUGUGAUGUGAUGCGGCUUUAUACGUAUUUUUAUGUGCUGUGUUGUAUAUACAAUCUGUGAUGUGUUGUAUAUACAAUCUGUGAUGUGUUGUAUAUACACUUAUGUGUAUUUCCUGUGGUUUUAAUUAAUUUUUUUUAAAUACCGAAAAUGUAUCAGUGUCGGUUGUACAUAUACAUCAGUAACGGUCGCAGAGACCGAUACCCAUCAUCAGUAACACGAAGUUAGUAACGGCGGCCCCGACCGUUACUGAUGUUAUUUUUCGACCGUUACUGAUAAACCUUUCGGAGCGUUGAACGAAGGCAAAGGCCGACAGAGGGUUUUGGAAUUUUCCUUCAUGAAUCGCCUUCCGUCUCGCCCACCAGAUCGCCCACAGCGUUGUAAGAAUAACCGCCAUCUCAGACUUCGGAUUGACUCCAAGAGCAUGAACAACCAAAGCUUUGCAUCAGGCAAAGAGUUCAUAAUGGCAUGUUCAGUAAGUUCGUCGUCCAUCAGCGCCCACACGCACUUGGCCAUGGUAUAGUUUAUUAAAGCAUGACGCCACGAAUCUUCAGCAGCAUGACAAAUAGGGCAGAGCGAAGAUUGCACCAUGUUUCUAUGGUGCCGCACAGCCUCAGUUGGAAUCGAGUUCUUUGAGAGUCUCCAAGCGAAAACCUUCAGUUUUGCUGGAACCGGUUGUUUCCAAAGUAGACUCCAUUGCCGCUGAUCCCGAGCAGUAUCCGAUCCUGCAGGACGAUGCUCAAUCCAAUCUUCCCUUCUUCUCUUAGUAUGAACAAGCAUUCGAUACGCCGAGCGAACGGAAAACACCCCCUUCUUCUCGAAGUGCCAGGCCCAAAAGUCAGAACUGGCCAUAGAAGGUAGAGGAAUGUUGAUUCAGCUUCACCAUAUCCCAACAUCUAUUCGCAUCAAUGAGCUCCGAAACAAGAGCAGGCGGGUUAGCAGAUUUCUGUGCCACGGGCCGUAGAAGACUAUCACGCGGCAGCCAGUUAUCUGUCCAAAUACAGGUCUCCUGCGCUGAGCCGAUCCGCUUAAUAAGUCCCAGGUUGAGAACCCUCUUCCCCUCAUACACAGCACGCCAAACAUGAGGGGGAUUGGCAGAUAGAGGGGAAAUAUUCAGGUCUAUACCUCAAUGCAGUUUUAGAGCAGAACUACCCUGUGCUGAGUGCAAGCGAAGCUACGGGAAGCCCAACUUGCCGCUUCUGCCACUGAGUUUUUUUUUUCAUCGGCCUCUCCGCCAAGUGCAUUUCUGAAGGCCCAUUACACAUGGCCCACGAAUAUAAGGCCCAAACUCUACUCGCGUGUCGCGUGUCGCUUGCAUGGUCGAUAGGUUUGGUUGGCUCUCGAAUACUCCGGAGUCCGGGACCGCUUCCUUCCGCUAAUGGCAUCCCUUCCCUCCUGCGGCCAUUGUUGCGGCUCGAGGCAGUAAACCCCCGUCUGCUUCGUUGCCCCGCCGAAGUCCCUUCUCCUUUCACCCCGCUCUCACUUCUCCCCACCACCCAGGCAAGAGAGGAAAGGCAAAUCUUAUAGGCCCCUCCGUCCCCGCGCGGUUCCCCCUUCGCUCGCCUCAUUGGGAAUUUAUCGCUUCCCGUAAUUCGCUCUGAUUCAGCGGUACUAUGCAAUUUCAUUUUUAUAUCAUCUGCUUGUUGUUAUUGCUCUGUAGUGUUUCACGGAAUGAUGGAUGUUCUGUAAAGAGGGUGGAGAUUCUAGCCGUGUUCUCCCAAAUUUGUUUGCUGCAUUUGUGAGCAGAGCGGUGGCUGGUCUGGACCAAGUUGGCGCAACUCGUAUCGUGCAAUUUUCCAUUUAGGAUCCGGUUCUGAAUCAUUUCGUGCAUCUCUUCGCGGUGGAUAAGCUCAGAAUGGGAUAGCAUCUGAAUGUUGCCCGAUAAUCCUUUGCUUUCCAUGUCUUUGUUGUUUGAGGGAUGCUAAUUUAGUUUCCAUGUUUUUCGUCAAGAUGGCAUGGAUUAACUUGUCUGGAGCUACCGUAGAAUAUGGGUGUUGAGUUGUUCAGCAGGCAACCUCUCUAGAAGUCUAUAUUUAGUUCUUUACUACCGUGCCUUGUCUAGUGUACAACUUUGUUAUUCUUAAUUUCCUCUGCAUAUGUUCAGCUACCUUAAAUACUUGUCUCGGAUAGUGUUUCGGCUGAACAUCGUUAGGGUCUCUUUGUGUUAAGAUUCUAAAAAUGCAGAAAGAGGAAACCGACUAGGAUUAAGAUGCCAUGCGUUGUUCAAAUCUACAGUAAGUCAAAACAAAAGAAUUUGCAAAAGUAGUUGUUUGGAUGCUCCACAGGAAAUCGCCAAGAGUGCUGUCCAUGCUAAAACUUCUUAGUUCCCAAUUUCAAUUGUUGCCUAUUAGAGUAUUCAUAACUAGAUGCCAACUGGACUAGGAUCGACCAACUUCAGUCUUCAUGGUAAUCUUAUUUUAAGGCUGUAUUAUGUUCCACCAAUUCCUAUAUGGCAGUUAUCCAUAUAUGUGCAGGUGAAACUACUUGAACUGGAUGCGGCUCUAUUCACCUGCAAACUGUUUGAGGCGAUCUGCGUCCAGUAGCAUGCAUUGCUCUUCCAAUCAGUUUCAUGGAGGAGUCACCCAGAGCAUGGCCUUACGGAAGUGCUCCUGGUCAAAGUCAAGCAGUUCUCAUUCGAACUCGGGAUUAGUCAAUUUUUCUCUCAAUAGGAAUAUAAGGUCUUCUGAACCACUCAAUCUGAAGUACUUUGUCAGCUUAGUGGGCCGACAAUUCCGUUGCGGACUAUCAACCAGAGAAGGUGCUCUACGUAUAAAGCUUGACAUGCUUUCACGUGAAAGAAUUUCGGGUAUUAGUUGGAAUUGGAAAGGCAUGCAUCAAAAAAUAGGAGGUACAGCCGGUGGACUUUGCUUAGGUUUUUCGGUUUCAGGGAUAGCAAAAGCUGAGAUGCCUGCGGACAGAAAGAUCAACUGUGCAGAAACAUCAGCGUCAUCUACUCACGGGAAGAAAAUAUACACAGAUUACUCUGUCACUGGUGAGACAUGAAUUGUGCUUGGUUUAGUAAUUUGAUUGUUAAAGAUACUAGCCUUAUCAUAUUUAUAUUGCUGAUGCGUCAGAUCAAGCUAACUACUUGUGACUGUUUUACCUGGAUUUGCUAGGUAUUCCUGGAGAUGGAAGAUGUUUAUUCCGCUCUGUGGUUCAUGGGGCAUGUGUCAGGUCCGGGAAAGCCAUACCUAACGAAGAUCUUCAGAGAAAGCUAGCUGAUGAAUUGAGGUCAAUGGUAUGUCUGUAAUUUUCCUAGGCACGUUGGCUAUUCCUGUUAUUGCCUUUCAUUCUCUACAACAGCUUUAUAAAUGCACCAUUGUACAGGUCGCUGAUGAAUUUGUCACCAGACGGGAAGAGACUGAGUGGUCAGUUGAUACACUGUUGCUGCUAUGUUUGUUCUUUCGAUUCUAAAAUGAAAUUUAGUCAUGAAUGGUUAUUAUUGACAUGUUUUGAACUGUUGCAUUUUCCUGUAACUCCAAUUGGCAGGUUCAUUGAGGGUGAUUUUGAUACCUAUGUUUCCCAGAUUAGGCAACCGCAUGUUUGGGGAGGUGAGCCAGAAUUGUUCAUGGCUUCACAUGUUCUUCAGUAAGUAAUUGGAUCUGUUAUUCAUUUUACUUCCAUGGUAUCCAAUAUAGCUACCAGCGAUAGAAUGUUAAGUUUGGACCAUGAAAAGAUGGUGACGUCGUUGUUUAAAUCAGUGUUGUAUAGAUGGGCGAGUCAUAAGUUUAAAAGGGAUAGGCGUUUUGGGAGUCACUGCAUGUAGUUUCUUUUGGGUUUGGUCUUUCAUUGUGUUCUAGUCAAUAGCUAAUAUCUAUAUUAGUUAGGUAUCCCCAUAAGUUAAACAGCUUUACAACAAAAGUACACGUAAAACAAAGAAUGGACUCUUUGUUUGUUUGUGUCACUUUUUCCUACUAUGCUAAUGUCAAAUCACUCGCAAACCUCCUAUGUUAUUAGAGUUUUUGUUCAAAAGGUAGUUUUUGCAUUCAGUCAUGUUGAAUAAAUUUCUGAUGGUUGUUAAAAUUAGAUAGCUAAGAAAUUCUCAUGUUAAUUAAAAGAUAUGGACUACUUUAUUUUAUGUAUGUUCAGUUAUCAUGUAUAUAAACAGCUCUGCACAUGAAGAAGUAAGAACACCAUUACUUUAUUCACACAGGAUGCCAAUAACUGUGUACAUGCGUGAUGAAGAUUCAGGUGGUUUAAUAACAAUUGCUGAAUAUGGCCAAGAGUAUGGUAAAGAAGAUCCAAUAAAAGUUUUGUAUCAUGGUUUUGGCCAUUAUGAUUCUCUACAGAUUCCAGCAAAUAUGGGCCCAAAGACAAAAUUGUAGAAUUCAAGAUACAAAUGGUAAGUUCAAUAUCUCAAUUUUCCCCUUCCAUUUCAUACGGAUAUAUUGUUGGGUUACCGAUGAUAUGCAUUUUAAAAAGAAUUGCUUAUAUAGCUUCAAUGGGCACCCCAAACUUAGGAGUUCUAACUUAUGUGGAUAUGCAAGAUGGCUUUCUUGAAAAAUAGUUUGCAGCAAAAUACUGUUAUCAUGUGGAGUACCCCAUUUACAUUACUCAAAGUUGCCCAUAAUAUUUUACAUUAUGGUGACAGGCUUGAAGGCUUGAAAGCCACAAAUCAAGAAUAGUUUCUAUAUUUAAGAUUUUAAUCUGUUUUUCCUUAAAUAGUCUGGAGCAUAUGGCAUGUCUGUUUAUGGCUUAAAUUUGUUACCGCUUUAGGGAUUUUUGUAGAUACUGCUUCCCUGAAAAUAUUUUGCUUCUUGCCAAACCUUUGCUGGCAGGCACUGGUGGCAUUUAACCAUGCUCAUUGUUCCAAUGGCUUUGUCUGUGGGCACCAGGCUCAUAGAAGAUGAUCAGAGAUACAGGACACUCGAUUCUCUGUAUGAAUCUGUCGAAAGAACCGAAGUGUUGCAAUCCACUAUAGCGUCCCCACUUCUUCUGAAAUGGACAAUAAGGUUAACAUCAUCCGAGAACAUGACUGGAUCCUGAUGCUGGUUGUUCAUGCGCUCACUGCAGAUUCUAGGUGCACCUGUUUGGCUGUAACUUCAUGUAAUCUGCUGAAUCCUGGCUGUGCUCAUGCGAUGGCAAUAAAAGGGCCCACUAUGGCUUUGUUAGGUUUGUUGGGCCUCUACGGAGGACCCACCUAUCAGUCCAGCCAGCCCAACAAGAACGAAAAGCGUUUUCCUUCAGUUUGCUAGAUCUCAACUAGGACCGCUACACCCACUCAAAAAAGAGAAAUCUGAAGAGCCUGCAUUUUACGGCGCGACUUGAAUGUUGACAAAACUUGCAAAACAAGCUGCUGCCAGGAAAAAAAAACUUCCAAAGAGAAAACUAGGUCACAGUAAAGCAUAAAAGCAGCCUUUCCUGGUUGUCGCCGAGUGGGAGUGGCUGGCUAGCUUGGGCCCUCUUUGUUGUUGCACCGUGGACCUGCGUGCCUACGUAAGCAAUUUUUACAUGUCAAUAUGCUAAGAGUAACCGAUUAAGUCAGCCAGCAAGAGCUAGUCACCCACUCAGACACACUGAAGAUGCAACUGUGUAUGAAUGUUCUUGCAUCUUGUAAUGUCAAGCAAACCACUGUAUUCAAACGACAACAACAGCAACAAUAUUUUACACAACGUUGCACGAGCACGAUGAACUACAGUACUACUACACAGUACUUCCUUUUUUUUUUGCCUUUUUUUACUAGCAGCUGCCUGUUUUUACUAGCUGCCCCGGUGUCACUUGCCCCACCUUCUCUUCUGGCGCUAGCCCUGUCGCAUUGACGCUGUAUACCACGCCGGGAUUCCCGAUGCCGGGUUCACAGGUGCGCCAAGCCGCUGCAUCCCUAGCCUGACUGACAACGGGGACUAUUUCUCGUUUCUGAUUUUUCGAAACAAGACAAGAAACCGUUGCUCAAUCCCAAUUACUACUCACCUGAAUGAAUCCGCAGUUUGCAGAGAAAUGAAAGCAAUCAAAGCUCCGGAAAUCUCAUCACAGAUUCAAAAUGAGCAGUAAACGUGGCAAUUACUACAGUAUUCUCUUAAACGUUGCAAGGAGGAGGACCUAGCAGGACGACAUAAUCCAAUUCAAAAACAGGCCACGCACUCCCACCCCAUCAUGAUGAGCCGGCGCCUCAAAUUCAAAAAAAUGGAUCAGCACUGACACUGCGGGGCCCACCGCACAGCGUCACGAGUGUAGUAAAUCACCCGAUCCCUCCAGCAGCGCAACAGACAGACAGUACAGGCGCGAGUACUCCAUCAUCAAACACUAAUCCUGGGGAUUCUGAAACUGUAAUAAUCCUUGAGAUUUGACCCACAUGCAAACACGGCUCGAUUGCUAAUCACUUUAGCAAAAGCCGCCCCGAGCAAAGGAGGUUCGAAAUAAUCCAGCACACCCCUUCCAGCGCGGCUCCCCGUGAGCCUCUGCGUUCGAAUCUCUCUGCCGGAAAUACCCCCCUCUUGCCCCAGAAUUACGUGCCAGACCAAGGAAGCGUUGACUAGUACUCCGGAGGGCUAUUUCCGUCAUUUCGUGUACUAAAUCUCACUGGCCCCUAAACCCAGUCCUCUAGCACUCCGCUGUCUUCUUCCCCUCGUCUCCCUUCCAUGCGGCAGAGCUAGACUGCAAGACUGUGCGACCUCACGUAUACUCCCAAGAAAUGGCAGGGCUGUAGUUUAGUGGAGUAGUUCGCGGAGACAGAGAGAGUGAGCGGGACUCCGAGAGAAGAGUGCUUCCUCCGUAGCUCGCAAUGGCGGCUGCGAUGCGUGUGCUCGCAGCAAUGGCGGUGUUGGUGGCGGCAUUAGCGUCCGCGGCGAAGGCGCUGAACACGGACGGGCUGGCGCUGCUGGCGCUCAAGUUCGCGGUGUCCGACGACCCCGGCAGCGCGCUGGCCACGUGGCGGGACGGCGACGCGGACCCCUGCAGCUGGUUGGGGGUCACCUGCGCCGACGGCGGCGGGGGCCGGGUCGCCGCCGUGGAGCUCGCGAACCUCUCGCUGGCCGGCUACCUCCCCUCGGAGCUCUCCCUGCUGUCCGAGCUCCAGACGCUCUCGCUCCCCUCCAACCGCCUCUCCGGCCAGAUCCCAGCCGCCGCCAUCGCCGCGCUGCAGAACCUCGUCACCCUCAACCUCGCGCACAACUUCCUCACCGGCCAGAUCCCGCCCGGGAUUUCCCGCCUCGCGUCGUUGUCCCGCCUCGAUUUGUCCUCCAACCAGCUCAACGGGACUCUCCCGCCGGGGAUCGCGGGGCUGCCGCGGCUCUCCGGGGUUCUGAAUCUGAGCUAUAAUCACUUCACCGGCGGGAUCCCGCCGGAGUUCGGGGGGAUUCCUGUCGCCGUGAGCCUCGACCUCCGCGGGAACGACCUCGCCGGCGAGAUCCCGCAGGUGGGGUCCCUCGUCAACCAGGGCCCCACCGCCUUCGACGACAACCCGAGCCUCUGCGGAUUUCCGCUCAAGGUCGAGUGCGCCGGCGCGAGGGACGAGCCGAGGAUCCCGCAGGCGAACACGAAUGGGAUGAACCCUGGCGCGGCGGCGGCGGAGGUGGGGAGGAGGCCAGGGAAGAAGCGGUCGUCGUCGCCGACGCUCGCGAUCCUCGCUGUGGUCGUGGUGGCGGCCAUUGUCGCCGGGCUCGUGCUGCAGUGGCAGUGCCGGAGGCGGUGCGCCGCCGCGGGCAGGGACGAGGAGAAGGAGUCGUCGGCGUCGUCGGCGAAGGAGAAGAAGGUAAGCGGGGCGGCGGGGAUGACGCUCGCAGGCAGCGAAGAGCGUCAUCACAACGGCGGCAGCGGGGGCGGGGAAGAAGGGGAGCUGUUCGUGGCCGUGGACGAAGGGUUCGGGAUGGAGCUGGAGGAGCUGCUCCGGGCGUCGGCGUACGUCGUGGGGAAGAGCCGAGGGGGCAUCGUGUACAGGGUCGUCCCCGGCCGCGGCCCCGCCGUGGCCGUCCGCCGCCUGAGCGAGCCCGACGACGGUGAGGGCGAGUCCGGCUGGCGCCGCCGUCGCGCGUUCGAGUCGGAGGCCGCCGCCAUCGGCCGCGCGAGACACCCCAACGUCGCCCGCCUCCGCGCAUACUACUACGCCCCCGACGAGAAGCUCCUCAUCUACGACUACCUCGCCAAUGGCUCCCUCCACUCCGCCCUCCACGGUAAGUAAACCAGCUCGUAGCUCAUUGCUUGCUAGUACUUAUUUCGUUUGGCGUUUGAUCUGGAGAUAGCGCACUGUUGCUUUGUUUGUUUCAGGGGGGCCGACGGCGUCGCCGACGCCAUUGCCAUGGUCGAUGAGGCUGUCCAUCGUGCAGGGGGCGGCAAGGGGUCUGGCAUACUUACACGAGUGCAGCCCGCGGCGGUACGUGCACGGCUGCAUCAAGUCCUCCAAGAUCCUCCUUGACGACGAGCUCCGGGCGCACGUGUCCGGCUUCGGCCUGGCACGCCUCGUCGUGGCGGGGGCGCACAAGGCGCACUCGAAGAAGCUCGCCUGCGCGCUCCGCAACAACGGCAAUGGCGCUGUGCCGUACGUGGCGCCGGAGCUGCGGGUUGCAGGCAAUGGCGCUAAUGGCGCGGCGGCGGCUACGCAGAAGGGGGACGUGUUCGCGUUCGGGGUGGUGCUGCUGGAGGCGGUGACGGGGCGGCAGCCGGCGGAGGGGGAAGGCGGGGCGGAGCUGGAGGCGUGGGUGCGGCGGGCGUUCAAGGAGGAGCGGCCGCUGUCGGAGGUGGUCGACCCGACGCUGCUGGGCGAGGUGCACGCCAAGAAGCAGGUGCUCGCCGUCUUCCAUGUCGCGCUCGGAUGCACCGAACCCGACCCCGAGAUGCGGCCCCGCAUGCGCGCCGUCGCCGACAGCCUCGACCGGAUCAACAACUGCUAGCCCGGCCGUCCCGUCCAUUGAUUCGCCAACCGCAGCUGCUGCUCCACCGGAUCGAUCCAGGGAAGAAGAACGAGGAAAACAAAAGGCUAAGAAGACCGUUUUCAUCAGCAAAAUCUUUAGCUCCGCAGAUUAGAGAAGGUAGAAUUAAGCAAGAAGAAACUGAUGGUCGUUCGCUGAUCUGCACUGUUAGUAACAAGUUAAUCUGCUAGUAUUCAUCUAAUCAUGUUUUGACUAGCUGCAACCUCUGCAGCCGUGCAAGUGUAAUUGACGACCUCUUCUGGACAGCUCUCCAACUGCUUUUCUUUUUCCCUAGCAUUGUUCGAAGUUUGCACUUCUCGUUUUAGGGAAAACUGAGAAAGAAAACGCCUUAGGCUUUCUUGGAGUCCGGGAGCUCGGUGAACGGGAUGCGUCUCGUGUUUUUCGCUGUGUUACCUUUGGGUGAGUCAUUCAGUUGACUCUGAAAAGAUGCGACAAUGGCAGUAUGACACAAUGCUGUUGGUUGCCUCCAUCUGUGUCACAGUGUCAGUAUGCUGUAAUAUUGGUUUUUAACUUGUGUCCUGCCGUGUGGUGCUUGCACAGCAAGCAGCAGCACGCAAGGGCAGGAGCUGCAGAUGGAUGCAGAAGAUUGGGGCAAGAGGGGGAUGGGUUCAGUCUUCAGUGUCGUCUAUCUAGUUAAGGCCCCGUUUGGAUUGCAGUAUUUUCACAGGAAAAACGUAGGAGGUGUGGUUCCUAUGGCAUCUCUUUUUUUGCUUUCACGGGAAUUGCACAGGAAUAUAAACAUCCACUGGCAUCUCUUUUUUUCACUCGUAAGUGUAAGACCGAGGCUGCAGGUGCCUUGUGGGCUUGUGACAUACAGAACCAGCCCGUACUGAGAGGAGACAGGAAGAGAGGGAGGGGAAGAGAUGAAGAUGUGCCAAUUAAUAAAAUAUGAUUGUGAUUCUAUCAACUUGAUUAGGAAAUAUGUCAAUAAUCUUAAUAUAUUUUUUCAUGUGUUCCAAACUUUCAUGACAAGUUUUCUAUGCAAAUGCAAUCAUUAUCUAAUAUAGGGAAAAUGAAAUGAUUAAUUAUACCUUAGUUUAUGCUUAUGUAGAUAUAUCACCGUGUUUUCAGUUUUCUGUGUUCCAAAACGUUUUUGCAAAACUUUCCUGUAUUUUUGAUUUAUCUGUUUUGCACAUGCAUUCCUUUCAUAUACCUGUGUUUUUUUUCUAUUCCCGUGUUUUGAAUUCCUUUGUUCCAAACGGGGCCUAAUAGUACGGUUUCUAAACUUCGUGUUGAAGGGAGAAGGAAUCCUUCUCAACAACCUGGUAUUCUUGCUGAAGAAUGGAAUGGAGUGGUCAUUGCACCGCAGGGAUGGGUUGCUGGGCAUAUCAUUGGUGCCAUCAUGGGAAUCCAAUGUAAAACACACAAUCAUUGCUCAUUAGGAUCAGAUCUAAUUGGAAGUCAGAGCUUUGUUUAGAUCCUUGCAUUGUAAUCAUCUCAAACUGUGGCACAGGAACUAAAAACAAAAAUGAAGUGCUAGUUUCAGAUGCGUCCAUACCCGGAAAUCUGACAGAAGUAUGAAGGCCGGAUAUACGAAAAACGGGUUACUGUUGCACCCACAGCAUGAACAUUCAAACUUGAAAGAUAGACGCAGAUGAACUCACAUUUACAUACCCCCAGAGCAGCUGAUGGUCCAAUAAUUCACUCAAACGUGACUGCUAGUCAGCUACUCACAGUGGGGACUGUUCAACCCGUGAGCUGACACAGAGGUUUUAAAUAGCACUGAAUUUCUUCACCAACCUGCCUCGCCUCGCCAUACAUCAAACCCAAAAGAAUUAAAUCAUCUGCAUCAGAUUAACAAACGUAUUGAUGGCUCGGUACAAGUGAGCAGCUCAGUGUCUAAGUCAGAGAAGGUACAAUGACUCUUUGGUCAAUCCAGCACACAUUUUGAUUGAGGCUGUGAAGAAAACUUCGAUAGCCGGAUCAAAUGUUCAGAAAAUCACAAGCCACACCAAACAGCAGAAGGAACUCUUGAUGUGUUCAAGUUGGAAGCACCAUACCCUGAAAUGAUAUUCAGUCAAGUGUUCGUGUUCUCAUCCAUAAAUAUCCUCCGCCGGGAAUAGUCCACGAGCUUCCUCCGGGAGAUCAGGCUGGUACUGCAGCUGCUCGUAGUUCAGCUGCCUGGCCGCUUCGUAGAGGGCUACUCCGACGCUGACAGACAGAUUCAGGCAACGGACGUAGGUCUCCACCAUCGGAAUUCGGAUCGUUCCGCCACCUAUGGCUUCACCGGAACAGUCUUCCAGGACGUUAUCUGCUAGCCCUUUUGUUUCAGAGCCGAAUACUAGCCAGUCACCUGGCUUAUAUGAGAAAUCCUGAACCAAAGAUGGGCAUAAUAAGCACAGAAAAAUCAGCUAAGGGUAAAUUUGCUCCAAUACAUUAAGACCCACUACCACAAUGUAUUAUAUGAGUAUAUUGCAUUCGUUUAUAUAUGAAUGUGGUGAUGAGGAUAUGCAAGUCAAUUUGCUCCAAUACAUAUCAUGUUUGCACAUAACAGUUACACAGUGUUAUGUACCUUAGUCGAUGAUAACAACCUUUUGAUUCAAUCAUUGAGAUUCGUGUAAGAUUAAUGUAGGUCCGAUGGAUAAGAAAAUCUUGAUUGGAUGGCUACGAUUGUUGACUGAAAAAUAACUAUUUCUUAGGCGACUGAGAAAUAGACAAUCCCAUGAGUAUAUUGCAUUCGUUUAUAUAUGAAUGCGGCAAUGAGGAUAUGCAAGUCAAUUUGCUCCAAUACAUAUCAUGUUUGUACAUAACAGUUACACAGUGGAAGAUCUAGAAAGAAUUUGAAAGGGUGAACCGCACCUAAAAACAUGUAAUACUGAAGAGAAAUGCACAUUUUAAGCGUCAACAAUUUAACAUUAGAUGUC